rnacentral:lncRNA from 1 species
UAAUCGGGCGGCAGAAAGCGCUCCCAAACGGCGUCGGAUUCGGCCGCCGACUUGAAGACGGUUGAAACUGAAGACAAUCUGCAUGCGUCACGAGGUGUAGUCAAGGAAAUUACGUUGGCUAUGCAACCUUCGGGUAAAAGCCCCAUUUCUGCUUCCAUGGAAAUUAGAAAGAGGGAAAGGAGAGAGAUAAUAAGCAAAUGAAUCCCGUCGUUUUGAUUCUUAUGGUUUUUUAUUUGGGCCUUUUAUAGAGAGGUGGCCGAUGAGAGAUUCAAGGAAAUCUUAGCGGUUAAGUUUUGGUUCAUAAUCAUGAUCCACACUGGCCAGCCAUACGAAGCCUUAUCGAACCGAACCGAAUCCCCUUUUCUUUUUCUACUUUUUUUUUUUACUUUAAAAAGCAUAUUUAAUUAAAAAAAAAGACAACUCUUGUUUAUGGGAUGAUAAGAAUUUCCUUUUCUGUCAACCAGGUCCCUGGCUAGUGUUAUUACCAAAACACCCCUAGGUUUAUUUUGCUGCGCAAUCGGCAACAACGAACAAUAAUGAACUUCAACCAUAAAAAGAAAUAUGCAUACUAGAAGAGGGGUACAAUAUCCUCCAAACUUAUUCUCUUACUUUCUUUUCUCACUCAAGCUAUUUAUUUGUUAUUGUCCUACUCUCGAUCUCUAACUUAAGCAUUAGAGGGUCUACACUAGUAGCAUGCUUAGCAACUCCUAAUGGAUUAUUGUGUUGCAAGAUUCUGACUAUCGAUCUAUUUAUUUCGAGGAGAUCAAACUUUCUGACAAUCCGUUCCACAAGUAAACAAACUCUUUCUCAACUCUUAUUGUUGAUCCAAACUUUGGUAUCAACAAAUAUAAGUAUAUUUCCAACAAACUAAGGUGGUAAAAUCUAUUGUGUUUAAAAUAAGGUUUCAGGUUCAAAUUCUCCUGAAUUAGGUUGCCUUUAGGCUAAAUAAGGGGGAAAAUGUAAAGCAAUACAUUACAACUAAAAAAAGAAAGAAAAGAAAAGGCAAUACAAUAUAAUUGAAGGGUUCGCUACUUUAGUUCAAGGGUAAAUUUCAAAAUCUCCAACAUGAAAUGAUAAUAUUCAACUUAAACCCACUUUUAUUCAAAAGAUAAGACAAAAGUGGGAAUGAAUUGAUGAAUUUUUUUUUCAUCUUCUUUACUAAAAUAGAGGUAAGUUGAGGUUUACAAUAGUUUGAUGGUAUUUUGAAUAUCAUCAUUCCAUGAGGAGAGUAAUCUGAAAUUAACUCUUAGUUAGAUAGCCUAAACCAUAAUUAAACACCUUAGAUUCGUCUAUAUUAUGAUGCGUUUACUUCUCCAAAAUUACAAUAGAUAUGAAUUAGAAUAUGUUAGAACCGGAAUGAGAAAUUAAAAUUAGAAUAAGUUGUCUAGUUGCGCUGUAAAAAUUAAAAUUCGAAUGAGAUAUAUUAUUCUUUAUAUGUUUACUUUAUUUUGCAUUUCUAUUUAUAGAUUACUAGUAGUGUCGUUAGGUACACCAAAUUUAAAACCUUAUUAAUGAUGUACACAAAUAGUACAGAGCGAGUAAAAAUCAAUCUCACGAAGACUAUACCAGUUGUAUUUAUUAUCAACUCUAAAACAAAGACUUAAAAUAAAAUAAUAAUAGUAGUAGUAGUAGUAGUAAUAUAAAUUAAUCUAACUAAAGAAAAAACCAACUAUAAGUAAAAAUGUGGAGUUUUAUGAAUUUUUAACUAAAUAGUAAGAAAUAAACAAAGUAAAAUUACGAAAAUAAUAAUUUAAUAAAAACACUAAUUAAAAGAUAAAUAAAUAAUAAAGAUGGCAAGUUUGGUCAAAGGAUCAUUUAUCACCACCAAACAAGCACAUAAUCAAUAUAUCAAUUCUAUCGUUAAUUUUUAUUGAAACUAUCAACCAUAGACAAUAAUAAGCUCUGUUAAUGUCUAUUUUUCCAUAAUGCGUCGUUAGACAAAAUAAGUUCUUCACUUAAGCUCUAACCAUUAAAUAAUUUAAAACAAGCUUUUUAAUUUUAAGAUAAUGGAAGCAAUAAAUAGAGAAAGACAUUAGGUUAAUCUAGGCAAUAAACACACAAACUCGGAUUAUUUAACCUAGAUUAUGUUCUUCAAUUGAAAUAACUUAUUCUAAUUUGCUACUAAUAAUUAAAAUAUCAAGAUAAUUACAGAUCAAGUAUUUUUAUCUAGCAAUAGAAUUUCUUCAAAUCCUAUCUAAUUGGCCACUCAAAUAAUAUAAGAACAAAAUCAUAAAUAUUAAUUAUAGAAUAAUAUAAACAAUCUCAAUUAAAUAAAUUGAAUGCUAGAAAUUGAAUAUUAAUUAUAUAUUAUGUUUGGAGUUUUGAAUUCACCAUCAAGCAAAUAAAAAAUCUAACCUAACAUAAUUGAGUUAGAAAUAAGAGAAUUGAUAAAACUAAUCAUGAAGAUUAAUUCAAAAGGCAGUUGCUCCAAUUUAAUUCCUUCGGGCUUCUUCCUUUUUUUUUUCUUCUUGCGGCUGCCUCUCUCUUUCGGGUUUUUGUGUAUGCGCGGCCCCUUUCCACGACGCUUUCCAAUUCUAAAGCCAAAAGGCUUGUUCUUUUGUAUCUGUUUUGAUCAGUCUUGCACGUUCUCUCCACUUAGGAUCACAUUAGGAUUUCCAUUCCUUUUUUUUUUUUUAAAUUGCAAUACACAUGCAAUUCCCAAGGUAAAUUAUUUAUUUUUCAAUAAUGCAUGUCCAUGUGAAACUUGAGGAAAUUGUCUUCUGAUUUUGGUCUUCAAAUUCUUGUUGGCCAUAGGUUCUUGAUUUUAUUUUCCCUUAUCUUGUAAUUAAUUUCUAAUUUAAUUUUGAUAGCUUCCCAAAUUGAAUUGUUUUAUAUUUUUUAAUCCAUAAUCUCUAAUUAAUUUCCUAUCUAAUAAUGUAAUUGAAAACAAAAAUUAAGAGUAACUAGUAAACAUUAAAUUCAGGAUAAAUUCUACUAUAAUAAAAUAUAAAAAUUAAGACAAAAAUUAACAUAAUAAAAUAUAAUUCAACGAAAUAACUAAACUAAAAAUUAACUAAAAUAAUUAUAAUAAUUAAGACCAAAAUAAGAAAAAGAUAGAGAAAUUAAUAGUAAAAUAUAGAGAAAAUAUGCACUUAUCAAUUACCAAGUUACUAAAAUGCUCUCAAUUAUGUAUUUGCUCAUUAACAAAUAAAGAGUAAAUGUUUUACUAUAAGUAUUAUAUGACCCAGAACCCGCGAGUGAAUAGCGAGUCAUUCAUAUUCUUGCAGUAAAGGUACGACCAACCCAUUAUAACUGCUGUACGGCCAAGGCGGAUGUACGGUACAGCAGAGUUUACUAUUAUUAUUAUUAUUAUUACUACUAUUAGUAAAAUUAUUAUUAAUAAUCAAUUUAUUAUUAUUACUGUUAUUUUAGUUCUUAGUCUAUUUCAUAAAAAUCAAAAUAGUUAUUGUUAUUAUUUAAUAUUUAAAUGCAGAAAAAAGAAUUUUUUACUUUGUUUAAGGAUAAAAAUGUCAAUUCACUUUCUAUUUCCAUUCAUCUAUUUUUCUUCCCAUCCCCCCGUAAGAACGAGAAUCAUUUUCAUUCUCUAAUUUUAAGAAGUCAAAUACGAUAAGUCUUCAAGUUUAUCGUUGUUUAUUUUUUCAAACCUAAAUAUAUAUUUAAUUAGAUAACUAUGUAUUAGCUGGACAAUAAUUAUUUUAAGUUGAGGGAAUCUCACCCAUCUUUAGUUCGAAUAACACAGUAAAAAUAAACUAUUGGGUUGCGUUCUUAUGUACAAAUGGUUAACACAACACAAUACCAAUAGGAAGCAAAAUUGUUUUAACACAGACGAAUAAAAUAAUAUACCGCUUAACCCUAAAAUGCAUUUGAAUCAUUUCCCUAGACUUUAUAUCGAAUAUUUUAUGCGGAUGUAAAAUUUAGGUGCAUACUUGGAAAAUCAUACGAGUUUUGGGNNNNNNNNNNNNNNNNNNNNNNNNNNNNNNNNNNNNNNNNNNNNNNNNNNNNNNNNNNNNNNNNNNNNNNNNNNNNNNNNNNNNNNNNNNNNNNNNNNNNNNNNNNNNNNNNNNNNNNNNNNNNNNNNNNNNNNNNNNNNNNNNNNUUUGUUGUUUAAUGUUUCAUGUAAUAAUUUUUCAAAUACCUCAAAAAUUUUCUUUCUUGCCCCUGUUUCAUGUUUACGUUCUACGUUUCAUGUUUGUUGUUAUAUGUUUCAUGUUUGAUGUUGUAAGUUUACUGUUACAGAUGUAGUCAUAUUUUAUGUUCGUGGUUGCAAAAUUUAAGUAAAAUGUUUCAUGUUUGUUGUUUAAUGUUUCAUGUAAUAAUUUUUCAAAUACCUCAAAAAUUUUCUUUCUUGCCCCUGUUUCAUGUUUACGUUCUACGUUUCAUGUUUGUUGUUAUAUGUUUCAUGUUUGAUGUUGUAAGUUUACUGUUACAGAUGUAGUCAUAUUUUAUGUUCGUGGUUGCAAAAUUUAAGUAAAAUGUUUCAUGUUUGUUGUUUAAUGUUUCAUGUAAUAAUUUUUCAAAUACCUCAAAAAUUUUCUUUCUUGCCCCUGUUUCAUGUUUACGUUCUACGUUUCAUGUUUGUUGUUAUAUGUUUCAUGUUUGAUGUUGUAAGUUUACUGUUACAGACAUAGUCAUAUUUUAUGUUCGCGGUUGCAAAAUUUAAGUAAGAUGUUUCAUAUUUGUUGUUUAAUGUUUCAUGUAAUAAUUUUUCAAAUACCUCAAAAAUUUUCUUUCUUGCCCCCGUUUCAUGUUUACGUUCUACGUUUCAUGUUUGUUGUUCAACGUUUCAUGUUUGAUGUUGUAAGUUUACUGUUACAGACAUAGUCAUAUUUUAUGUUCGCGGUUGCAAAAUUUAAGUAAGAUGUUUCAUAUUUGUUGUUUAAUGUUUCAUGUAAUAAUUUUUCAAAUACCUCAAAAAUUUUCUUUCUUGCCCCUGUUUCAUGUUUACGUUCUACGUUUCAUGUUUGUUGUUAUAUGUUUCAUGUUUGAUGUUGUAAGUUUACUGUUACAGAUGUAGUCAUAUUUUAUGUUCGUGGUUGCAAAAUUUAAGUAAAAUGUUUCAUGUUUGUUGUUUAAUGUUUCAUGUAAUAAUUUUUCAAAUACCCCAAAUUUUUUCUUUUUUGCCCCCAUUUCAUGUUUACAUUCCACGUUUCAUUGUAAUUUUAUGAUUUUAUAUUUCAUGCAUUAAAUGGCUUAUUGAAAGGUUUUAAAUCUCAAAAUGAUUUAAAAUUAAUCAAUUUUAAAAGGCCAAAAAUAAAAUGGUGUGUGUAAUACAAGUAUAAGAGCUUGCCCAAUUAGAGACAAAAAGAUUUCCAAGUCUAAACCGAUAUACCACUUCUUCUCAUCCGGAAAACCGUUUUUCUUAUUGAUUUCUCUCGGGACAAAUUCCGGAUAACCGGAUUGUCCAAAUCGAUGAGCCGCAUUUUCUUUGGAUGCUCUCAGGUCAAUAGUCGAAUAACCGGAUUAUCAAUCCGGAAAACCGGAUUCGCGUAUGGCCUUCACUGGAUUUAAUCGGAUAGCCGGUUCUGUAAAUCUGAAAAUCUGGAUUCGAGCUGCACUUUGGCAGCAUUCUGGAUUCAUUCGGCCAACCGGUUAAGGAAACCGGUAAGCCGGUUUUAACGUGCUAUCUUCUGGAUCCAACCGGCAAGCCGGUUUGUGAUAUUUGGAAAACCAGAUUCGAGUGAAGGACUUGCUGGAACAUAACCGGAUUUCCAGUUCAAGUAAAACCAGCAAGCCGUUUACGACUUGUAAGCUUCUGGUCACAACCGACUAACCGGUUAGUGAAAUCCGGCAAGCCGGUUUCGGGACCUAUUUCUACUAUUCAUCUUCUUCCUCUCAUUCGGCAUUCCGGAUCUCCCUCUCUCUCUAAAAACCGUUUGCUCCUCACUCAAUCUCACUCCAAAAUCCAUCAUUUUCUUCCUUUUUGGCAUCAAAUUGAGUCUAAAAAAUCAUUCCCCAUCACUUCAUUUACUCAAAAUCAUCCGUAAAAUCUAUUUUUAACAUCCAAAACUCUAGAUCUCAAAUUCAUCCUAGGGUUUAACCGAACUUUUCUCUCUCCAUUUUUAGCGGGAGCGGGAGCGGGAACAUGAGCGUGAGCAGGAGCGCGAGAGUGAGCAAGAGCGAGAGCGAGGAAGAAUGUGGGGAUGGAGAGGGAAAAAGAUGAGGAUUUUCUGGUUCAAUGUUCCCGGGGAGGGAAGAACAAGGGGGUGGGGGAGAAAGAGAGGGAGAUGAAAAUGCUUUUCUUCCGGUUGCCCUUCUUUUUUUGCUUUUAUUCACAUUUUUUUCUUUUCUUUCAAACUAAAACCCCAACCGUUGGAUUCAAAAAAACUGAAUCCAAUGGCUCAAUGGCAGCCCCUGCACCAUACAGGGGAUUUUAGGCCCUGCAUGGUAGCCGUGUCCCGCAUGUAAUGGUCAACAUUAGUUAAGAAGACAUGCAUCGAAACAAACAACAAACAGGUGGAUGCAACUAUUGGUUGAAAAUAACUUGGUGGAAGCAUGCUACUCUAGGUUGGGCUAAGAUCAAAAUGAAAUUUUCGAAAAAAGGGUUGAAAAUAUUUGGAAGAGAUCGGGCAAUGCAUUGCCAAAGUAAUUGGUGGGAAAAAAGGUCAAAAUUCCCCUUUAACCCUGAGGAUUGAAAUAAUAUCUAAUUUUAAUUUUAUCCUUGGAAUUUAAAUAAUAGGCCAUGUCAUUCCCAAUUUUGAACGACGACGACGACGACAACAACAACAAUAAUAAUAAAACUAAUAAUGCUUAAUAUUAUAAUUAUGACGACGGUGAUGGUAAUGUUGGGAAAAUAUGCUUUCCAAAAUCAUAUGUGUUUAUUUAAUUGUAAUAAAUAUUUUUUCUGAUUAAUAAAAUUAAUGAGGUAUUUUAUUCAAAUAUCUUAAUUGCAUUAAUAUUUUUAUUAAAGUCCAUUUAAUCAUAUUAUAUGUAUUUAUGUGAUCACUAUGUGGAUUCACAGAAGAAAUAAAUACAAGUUAUCUUAUGAUUAAAUAAAAUUUAGUUCGCAGUUGAUAAAUAAAGUUGGACACUUUAUUUAGGUAUAGAUUGUAAUAAAUUCAUUUAAUGAUUUGUCUUAAUCAUAUAUGAAUUUAUUGAUGUAGUACGACUACAUUGAAGAGGAUCACAUAUGAGAUUUAAUUAAUUUUGUAAUAACUGUCAGACUUAUUAAAUCUCAUAGGCAUUGAUUUUACUGUAAUCUUAAUCUUGAGUUAAUUAUGAUUUCAUGAUUGUAAUUGUUAUUCCAUUUGAGUUACCAAUGGGCUUGACACAUACUUGUAGUCUAGAUUACCCGGUAUCUUGGUGGGAGCAUUUAUGAGUAUUGGAGUUAUAGAUUAACAAUAUAGAAUUUGUACAACACAUCUCUUGAUAGGUUUUCGGUACUUGAUCAUAGAAUUCUCUGGCCAGAGUGUGUCAACAUAUUUAGUAUGUUGAAAAUGAUCAUUAGAGAAAACGAGUAAGUAUCAAGGAAUAAGAUGUAAUUAAAUCGAUUGGACAGUUGAGAUGUCGAUUUAAUUAACGAUGUGGUAUAAAGGAUUAUGCAGUAAAGACAUCAAUGUGGCUUGGGACGAAUUAUUAUUCGAGUAUACAAUUAUGGAGAUCAAUUCCAAUAUUUUAGUGGAGUAGAAUUGGAAUUAAAUAAUUCGGCUAGUUUAAUUACAAGCCUAAUUAUUACAGCCACUAUUGUAUGUUCCCAAAUGAUCCCCGGGUUAGCUCAUUUAAUUAACUACACCACUACUGGAUUAAUAAGCAAGAUAAUUAGCUAUUUGGGUCAAAAGACUAAAUAUAUCAUUUAGUGGGAGGCUCCAUUUAAUUAGCUUGUGUGUAAGGGGCCUUAUGUUAUUUUAUAAGGUGGGUCCCCUAUAGAAAAAGCAAGUAACGUGAGUUUUGAUUUUCAUUAUUUGGAGCCUAGGGUUUUCACUAAAUGAAGAUAUAAAAAGGCUUAUUUUCUUUAAAGAAAAAAGAUGGCAGCCACUUUAUACAAAUCAGAAAAAAAUCUUUUUCUCUCUAUUGUUGAGAGAAAAAUUUUCUCGUGCUAGUUGCUUUGGUAGUGAUAAAGGCGCCCACACGUCAAGUGCAGAUAAAACCUGAGUCAUAACCUGGAAGAUCAUUGGUGUCAGUUCGUGAUCUAACAAGCGUGGUGGUGAUGGAUCGUGAUCUAACUAGAGUGGUGGUGACGGAUCGUGAUCUGGGAGCCUAAAUCAUUUCAGCAAAAAAAUCCAAAUUGGAUUUUCAAGGUAUGAUUUUUAGAUUACAAAUUCUUAUAUAUUGUAUGAGAGCGAUCUUAAAAGGUUUUAUAAAAAUUGAAAAAAUUGAUUUUUCUCCAACAAUUGGUAUAAGAGCCAUCUCAUAUUAAUAUAUAAGAAUUUCGUAUGAAAUUAAUCUUGAUAUUAUGUAUUAGAGUGGCACAAUUUAUUCAAAUAUAUAUUAUUUGUUUAAUAUAUGAAUAAAGCAUGUUUAUGGUUUGUCUUAAUUCAUGGUUAGAUUUUCUACUGUAUUUGUCGUUUGGUCUGUAACAAAAGGGGUGGUUUUUUAUCACUAUGUUUCCCUCUUGAUUUAGUUUAUUGUUAUAGAAAUUUUGUAAGCCAAAAUUGGCAUAGGAAAUUUGUAAAUACUAAAGAAUAAUCACGGAUGUUGAUCAAAGCAAUGAUGGCUACAAAUUUUGACAACCACGAACCCACCACAACCAGCGUAGGAUGCCUCACGAAUCACGCUGCCAGCAGCUGCGCGUGUGCUCUGCACGCCCAACAGCGCGCGCUGCAUUGCACGUGCAACAAGCUGGCCGCCCGCGGCAACCAACAAAAACCAGCAGCUGCAGCGCGCGACCAACAGCGCCACCAGCAACGCUAGUGAAGGCUGGUCGCUUGAGCAAGAUGGCUGCUGGCGGAGCGGUGGCUUUCCGGUAAGGGACGGCGGUAACUUGGGGUCAGAGAUGGUGGCUGUCCGGUGUGAGAGUUUUAAACGAGGGCAGUUUUUGCGUUGAUGGCAGCUGGGGAGAAGGAAAAGAAAAAAAUGUGAUUUUAGGGUUUCAUGGUUUUUGUCAUGGAGGUCCCUAUAGUUUCAUAUUCUUUUUUGUGGAUAAAAAUUUUUAAUUUUUUGCAUUUAAGUUCAAACAUAGUUUUGGGUUUAAUGAAUUAUAGUUUUAGGCUCAAUUUCAAUUGGGCUUAAUGGAUUAAAAUGCAUAGAUAAAAUUGAAUAUAUUAAAUUUAUUUUUGGUCCAAAAGUUUUAUUUUAAUAAUUUUUUAAUUAUUUAUUUAUUUCUUUUCAAAAUUAAAAUUGGACCAAUUAUAAAUUUAAAAGCCCAAUUUCCCCUAGUCCAUCAAUAAAGACAAGCUUAUGAAAGAUGGACAUUAACAAGAAGCCCAAUGAAGAUUAGGCUUAGGGUUAAUGUAUUUUUUCAUUUUAGGAAAGCCAUGAAUUAAGAUUAUUUAAUUAUUUUUCUAUAUGUUAUGUUUUGGAUGAUAACAUGCCAUAAUAACAUGUCAUAUAGAAUAGGUAGUGCCACUCUAUGCAUAAUGAUACAUAUUAUUCAUUAAUUAUGAAUCUCGUUAUAUUGUUUGAAAUUUGCAUAUGCUUAAUAAUAUUGGAUAUCAUCUAGAUAAUAUUAUAGGAAGCAUGCAAUUAACAAUAUGUAUGUUUUAAAAGGAAAAACCAAUUUUAAAAUAUUGAGUGGGAGAGGGAAAAUUCAAGAUAAUUUUCCCACGGGCUCCAUUGUUAGUUCAAUAAUAAAAUUAUAUAUAUACCUCGACUUCAUGAUACGGUGAUGCUCCCUUCGGAGCGUAUAUAUAUUAGAUAUUUUAUUUGAUGAACUUCUUCAAAGAUAAAAUUAAAAUAUUUUUCAAUCGAUUGUUCACCCCAAAUGUGACUAUUGAUAUGUAAAAUACGUAAAUUGAAACAAUGAUUAUACACUCAACUAAAAUUUGUUAUUAACAUUCCCAACGAAGCUCUGUUACCAAAUUUAGGCCCAAAAAGGAUAACAAUAAUUAUUUAUCAUGUCUCUACAUGAAAGUAAAUAAUUCAAUGGCUAAUUGGGUCUAGUAAGUAUAGACAUGACUUCCCCAACGAAUAGCUUGUCAAAGCGGAACUAGAUUAUCGUUACAAUAAAUAAAAAUGCAUUUAUGGUUUUAUGCAUUUUUGUUAUUUAUUGUGAAUAUUAUUUCAAAUUAUUUAUGCAUGGAUGUUUUAUUUUUCAGAAAAUGUCUUCCCUGAGCCCAUUUACUAUUAUUCUGAGUCAAAACAAACUCACUGGAGAGAACUAUAUCGAUUGGAAAAGAAAUCUAUUCAUUGUCCUGACUGCUGAAAAUUAUAAAUAUGUCUUAACCCAGCCAUGCCCUCUAGUUCCAGCGGAUGAUGCUCAUAGAAAUUAGAGGAAGCUUUAUGAGAAAUGGCAAAAGGCCAAUGAAAUGGCAAAAUGCUACAUUUUAGCCUCAAUUUCUAAUAUUCUGCAGACCAAACAUCAGAACUUGGAGACUGCUACUAAAAUAAUGGAUAGUUUCCAAUAGAUGUUCGGGCAGAGUACCCGCUCCGCGAGACAAGCAGCGCUAAAAGGAAUUAUGAACAGUAAAAUGGGGAAGGGCAAAAGAGUUCGUGAUCAUGUCCUCAAAAUGAUGGACUAUUUGAAUGAGGCUAAGAUUCAAGGAGCACAAAUCGAUGAUAACUCAAAGAUUGACAUGGUGCUAGAAUCUCUGCCAGAAACAUUCAAGGAGUUUAAGGUCAAUUAUAAUAUGAACAAAAGAAACAUGAACUUAACUAAAUUGAUGAACGAACUCCAUUCUGCUGAAGAGAUCUAUCGUACUGAGAAAUCUCUGGGAAGCAUAAAUAUUACUGAAAAAAGUUCAUCUUCUGGGCCUAAACCGAAAGGCAAAGGUAAGAAGAAAGCUAGGAAAAAUAAACCGUUUACCAAGCAAGAUGGCAAGCCGAAAGGCAAAUGCUUUAAGUUUGGACAGAAAGGUCACUGGAAAAAGGAUUGCCCUAAUAUUGUGAAAUCAGACAUGGGAAAUCUUUUUGUAAUUGAGGCCUGUUUAGUUCAGAAUCCUAUUGACACUUGGGUGUUGGAUUCAGGAGCAACUAAUCAUAUUUGUAAUUCACUUUAUUGGUUUCUGGAAACCAGGAAAAUAAGUUAAGGAAGCAUCAAGCUACAGUUAGGGACAGGACAGUUCGUGUCAGCAGUGAAGACUGGAUCUGUUUUAUUAUCUUCUAGUAAUAAGACUUUAAUUUUAAAUAAUUGUCUUUAUGUUCCAGACAUAAAGAGGAAUUUAAUUUCAGUAGCUUGUUUGUCAAAGUAAGGGUACACUGUAAAUUUUGGAUACUCUGUUUCUAUUUUUUAUAAGAAGAGACUUAUUUGUUCUGGUACAUUGGAAGAUAAUUUAUAUCAUUUAAGUUCAAUGAUCCAUUCUAUGCACGACACAGUAAUAAAUAAUGAUGAGCAUACACAUUUAUUUAAGAAAAGAAAUAUUUCUUCCAACCAAUGUUAUCUCUUACAUUUACGCUUGGGUCAUAUAAACCAAAAUAGGAUACAAAGAAUGAUCAAAGAUGGACUUUUGGGUUUAUUAGAAAAUGAAUCAUUGCCACUAUGUGAAUCUUGUUUAGAAGGGAAAAUGACCAAAAGGCCAUUCUCGGCCAAAGGAGUACGUGCAACAGUACCACUUGAAUUGGUACAUACAGAUGUAUAUGGACCAAUCAAUGUACAAGCUCGAGGAGGUUAUGAGUAUUUCAUCAUUUUCACCGAUGAUUACUCGAGAUACGAUUAUAUUUAUCUGAUGCGUUACAAGUCUGAAGCUCUUGAGAAAUUUAAAGAGUAUAGGGCUGAGACAGAAAAUCAAUUAGAUAAGAAUAUAAAGAAACUUCGAUCUGAUCGACUGUAUGUUUGUGGGGUAUCCUAAAGGAACAAGAGGAGGUUUAUUUUAUAGUCCUCAAGAUAGGAAAGUGAUCGUGAGCACAUAUUUCACUUCCCUAGAGGAAGACUAUAUGAAUAACUUCAAACCUAAGAGUAAGGUAAUACUUGAAGAACUAUUAGGUAAUCAAGUUGAUGCUCAGCUUUCAAUGCCUGUUACAGAACAGGUAGAACAGCAACAACCAGAUGAUCAACACAGGAUUAUCCCUGAACAACCAUCACUUUUAGAACCUCGUCGUAGUGGGAGGGUAACUAGGUUACCUGCGAGAUACAUGCUUUUGGGAAAAAUCUAUACGGCUAUCUUAGAUGAACAUGUACAAGGUCCCACUAGUUACAACGAAGUUCUAAUAGAUAGAGAUGUUGAAUUUUAGAAAAAGGCCAUGAAUAAGAAAUAGAAUCUAUGUAUUCCAAUAAAGUCUGGGAACUUGUAGAGGCACCAAAUGAGGUAAAACCUAUAGGGUGCAAGUGGAUCUACAAGAGAAAAAGAGGAGUAGACAGAAGGGUGGAAACAUUUAAAGUAAGAUUAGUAGCCAAAGGGUUUACUCAGAAAGAGGGAAUCGAUUAUGAGGAAACNNNNNNNNNNNNNNNNNNNNNNNNNNNNNNNNNNNNNNNNNNNNNNNNNNNNNNNNNNNNNNNNNNNNNNNNNNNNNNNNNNNNNNNNNNNNNNNNNNNNNNNNNNNNNNNNNNNNNNNNNNNNNNNNNNNNNNNNNNNNNNNNNNNNNNNNNNNNNNNNNNNNNNNNNNNNNNNNNNNNNNNNNNNNNNNNNNNNNNNNNNNNNNNNNNNNNNNNNNNNNNNNNNNNNNNNNNNNNNNNNNNNNNNNNNNNNNNNNNNNNNNNNNNNNNNNNNNNNNNNNNNNNNNNNNNNNNNNNNNNNNNNNNNNNNNNNNNNNNNNNNNNNNNNNNNNNNNNNNNNNNNNNNNNNNNNNNNNNNNNNNNNNNNNNNNNNNNNNNNNNNNNNNNNNNNNNNNNNNNNNNNNNNNNNNNNNNNNNNNNNNNNNNNNNNNNNNNNNNNNNNNNNNNNNNNNNNNNNNNNNNNNNNNNNNNNNNNNNNNNNNNNNNNNNNNNNNNNNNNNNNNNNNNNNNNNNNNNNNNNNNNNNNNNNNNNNNNNNNNNNNNNNNNNNNNNNNNNNNNNNNNNNNNNNNNNNNNNNNNNNNNNNNNNNNNNNNNNNNNNNNNNNNNNNNNNNNNNNNNNNNNNNNNNNNNNNNNNNNNNNNNNNNNNNNNNNNNNNNNNNNNNNNNNNNNNNNNNNNNNNNNNNNNNNNNNNNNNNNNNNNNNNNNNNNNNNNNNNNNNNNNNNNNNNNNNNNNNNNNNNNNNNNNNNNNNNNNNNNNNNNNNNNNNNNNNNNNNNNNNNNNNNNNNNNNNNNNNNNNNNNNNNNNNNNNNNNNNNNNNNNNNNNNNNNNNNNNNNNNNNNNNNNNNNNNNNNNNNNNNNNNNNNNNNNNNNNNNNNNNNNNNNNNNNNNNNNNNNNNNNNNNNNNNNNNNNNNNNNNNNNNNNNNNNNNNNNNNNNNNNNNNNNNNNNNNNNNNNNNNNNNNNNNNNNNNNNNNNNNNNNNNNNNNNNNNNNNNNNNNNNNNNNNNNNNNNNNNNNNNNNNNNNNNNNNNNNNNNNNNNNNNNNNNNNNNNNNNNNNNNNNNNNNNNNNNNNNNNNNNNNNNNNNNNNNNNNNNNNNNNNNNNNNNNNNNNNNNNNNNNNNNNNNNNNNNNNNNNNNNNNNNNNNNNNNNNNNNNNNNNNNNNNNNNNNNNNNNNNNNNNNNNNNNNNNNNNNNNNNNNNNNNNNNNNNNNNNNNNNNNNNNNNNNNNNNNNNNNNNNNNNNNNNNNNNNNNNNNNNNNNNNNNNNNNNNNNNNNNNNNNNNNNNNNNNNNNNNNNNNNNNNNNNNNNNNNNNNNNNNNNNNNNNNNNNNNNNNNNNNNNNNNNNNNNNNNNNNNNNNNNNNNNNNNNNNNNNNNNNNNNNNNNNNNNNNNNNNNNNNNNNNNNNNNNNNNNNNNNNNNNNNNNNNNNNNNNNNNNNNNNNNNNNNNNNNNNNNNNNNNNNNNNNNNNNNNNNNNNNNNNNNNNNNNNNNNNNNNNNNNNNNNNNNNNNNNNNNUAUUGUUGGGAAAAUAUGCUCUUUAAAAGCAUAUGUGUUUAUUUAAUUGUAAUAAAUAUUUUUUCUGAUUAAUAAAAUUAAUGAGGUAUUUUAUUCAAAUAUCUUAAUUGCAUUAAUAUUUUUAUUAAAGUCCAUUUAAUCAUAUUAUAUGUAUUUAUGUGAUCACCACAUGGAUUUAGAGAAGAAAUAAAUACAAGUUAUCUUAUGAUUAAAUAUUCAUUUAGAACAUUGAUGAACCAUGUGUGUACAAGAAAAUUUAAGAAAAAUCUAUAGCCUUCCUAAUCCUUUAUGUAGAUGAUAUUCUCCUAAUUGGAAACGAUAUAGGAGUAUUGACUAUAAUAAAGAGUUGGUUAGCAAAACAAUUUGAUAUGAAAGACAUGUGAGAGGCAAGUUAUAUUUUUGGUAUCAAGUUACUACGAGACCGGAAGAAUAAAACUUUAACCUUGUCUUAAGCGGUCUAUAUCGAUAAGAUACUGGCUAGAUUUAGCAUGAAAAAUUCCAAGACUGGUUCAUUAUCAUUCAGACAUGGAAUUACAUUCUCUAAGGAUCAAUCACCUAAAACAUCUAAAAAGAUAGAGAGAAUGAGACGAGUUCCCUAUACAGAAGCUGUGGAAAGUCUCAUGUAUGCCAUGCUUUGCACUAGGCCAGACAUCUAUUUUGCGGUAAGGAUGGUUAGUAGAUAUCAAUCUAGUCCUGGACCUGAACACUGGACUGAGGUCAAGCAUAUAAUGAAGUAUUUGAAAAGAAUUAAAAAUUAUAUACUUGUGUAUUCUGGUGAUGAACUCAUUCCAGUGGGUUAUACUGAUUCUGACUUUAUGUCAGAUAAGGAUUCUAGAAAAUCAACUUCCACCUAUGUGUUUACAUUGGGAAGUGGAGCUAUUAGUUGGAGGAGUGUGAAACAAUCUUGUAUCGCAGACUCCACAACUGAAGCUGAAUAUGUGGCUGCAUCUGAAGCUGCAAAAGAAGCUGUAUGGCUCCACAAGUUCCUACAAAAUCUUAAGGUGGUACCUGUUGUAACUGCACAUUGCAUUUAUAAUACAAUUUGAAUAAGAGUUGAAAUUGUAAUUUACAAGAUUGCUCAGUCCUAAGGGGCAGCCGAGUGUCUUUUAGCCUCUUUAUUUAAUUAGCUAUCCAAGUUAUACUUGUUACGAUUACGUGCUCUUUAAAGCAUAUCGAUUUAUGUAUAGGAAAUUAUUAUUCGUAUACCCUAAAUUUGCGUUUUUAUUAAAAAUAUUAUAAUAUUUUAAGGGUGCAUCAAUCGUCCACUCUAAAUUGACAAAAAUUAUCUGUCGACCACUAAACUGUUAACUGUCAUUUGAAAGUUAACAGAACUGUAGCGAAUUGACGAUUUUACCCUUGAAAAUUAUCACUUAUAUACCCUUAAAAUCUCUUAUUAUCACUUAUAUACCCUUAAAUUAUCAUUUGUAUCAUAUGAAAAACUAGAUUACCCCUCUGACGUCAUCAUAUUUAAACGGCAACUAACGGUUUAGUGGACGGCAAAUACACUUUGUCAACUUAGGGCGGACGACUGAUAUAUCUUUAAAGUGUUGUAGUAAAUUUGAUAACGGAGUAAACUAAGGGUAUACAAUUGAUAAUUGUCCUUUAUCUAUUUAUAAUAAAUAUAUUUUUUUAUUAAUAAAAUGUUUGAGAUAUUUUUCAAACAUCUUAAUUGCAUAAAUAUUUUGAAUAAAGUCCGUUUAAUCAUAUUAUAUGUAUUUAUGUGAUUAUCGUAUGAUUCACAGAAGAUAUAAAUACAAGUUAUUUUAUGAUUAAAUAAAUUGAGUUUACAGUUGAUAAAUAGAGUUGGGCGCUCUAUAUAUGUUUAGACUGUAGUAAAUUCAUUGAAUAAUUUAUCUUAAUUAUGUAUGAGUUUACUAUUGUAGUUUGAUUGCAUUGAACUAGAUCACAUAUGAGAUUUAAUUAACCGUGAAAUGACUAUCAGACUUAUUAAAUCUCAUAGGCAUUAAUUUUAUUGCAAUCUCAAUCUCAAGUUAAUUAUAGUUUCAUGUUUGUGAUUAUUAUUUCAUUUUAGUUAUUAAUGGGCGCGACAUACAUUUGUAGUCAAGAUUACCCAGUAUCUUGCUGGAAGCAAUCAUGAGCUGUGAGAUUAUAGGUUAAUAAUAUAGAAUUUGUACAACAUAUCUGUUGAUGAGUUUUUGAUACUUGAUCAUAGAAUUCUCUGGCCAUAAUGUGUUAACAUAAUUAGUAUGAUUCUCGGGUUAGCUCAUUUAAUUGACUGCACCACUACUGGAUUGAUAAGUAAGAUAACUAACUAUUUAGGUCAAAAACCUAAAUAUAUCAUUUAGUGGGAGGCUCCAUUUAAUUAGCUUGUGUGUAAGAGGCCUUAUGUUAUUUUAUUUUACAAGGUGGGUCCCUUAUAGAAAAAGCAAGUAACGUGAGUUUUUAUUUUCAUUAGGAGCCUAGGGUUUUUACUAAAGGGAGAUGUAAAAAAGCUUAUUUUCUUUAAAGAAAAAAGAUGGCAUCCACUUUAUACAGAUGAGAGAAAAAUCUUUUUCUCUCUAUUGUUGAGAGAAAAAUUUUCUCGUACUAGUUGCUUUGGUAAUGAUAAAGGUGCCCACACGUCAAGUGCAGAUAAAACCUGAGUCAUAACCUGGAAGAUCAUUAGUGCCAGUUCGUGAUCUAACAAGCGUGGUGGUGACGGAUCGUGAUCUAACUAGAGUGGUGGUGACGGAUCGUGAUCUGGGAGCCUAAAUCAUUUCAGCGGAAAAAGCCAAAUUGGAUUUUCAAGGUACGAUUUCUAGAUUACAAAUUCUUAUAUAUUGUAUGAGAGUGAUCUUAAAAGGUUUUAUAAAAAUUGAAAAUUUUGAAAAAUUUAAUUUUUCUCCAACAGAUAAUUUGCGUAAUAAUAAUAAUAAUAAUUUUAAUAAUAAUAAAUUAUCAACCAAGAAAUGAAGGCUUUAUUGAUAUGACGGAUAAGUUAAAAGAGGAAAAAAGAAAGAGAAAAAUAUCUUCAACACUCUAUUUUAACUAUUUUCUUUGACAGUCCCUAUUGUUUAUUGCAAGUAAUAGAAACUAUGAGUUUAAUAGUUUGUUUUAUAAUAAGCCCCAAUUAAAUUGUACUAAUUAAAAAAUUAACAAAAUUAUCUGACUUGUUAUUCAGUAGUCCCUAUUUGUUAGAGCUGGCAAAACGGGUCAUCUGGUCGUGUCAGUUUCGUGUCGUGUCAAAUUUAAGUCGGCAAAAUGGGUCAUCGGGUCGUAUUCGUGUCGUGUCAAAUUUAGGUCGAGGUUGACCCAAACCCGACCCAUUUAAUAAUCGUGUCAAAAUAUUGAGACCCAAACCCGACACGGAAAAAUAAUCGGGUUACCCAAUAAUCCGUUUAAUAUCUAUAUAUUGAACAAAAGUUACAUCAAAUAUUUACAAGUUACAUCAAAUAUUUACACACUAUCAUACAUACGUAUGUACAUACAUACAUACAUACAUACAUAAUUUAUCGAUAUUAUAAAAUAUACAUAUCUACCAAUAUAUUACUCAUUUACACUAUUGAGGUUUUAAUUUUAUAUAUAUAUAUAUAGUAGUUUUUUUGUCAAGGAUUUUAAAGUGCGGGAAAGUCCGGGAAAGCUUUAAAACCGCACGGCUUUAAAAGCUUACAGUUUUAAACCUUUAAAACCAUGCGGUUUUAAAGUUUUCUCAUUUAUAUUCACCCUUUUAAAGAAUAAAAAAAAAGAAAAUCAUUAUUAAUAUUUGAGUUUUAAUGAUAAGAAUAUGUCUUCUCAAAAAAAAUGAUAAGAAUAUGUAAAUUAUUUUAAAAUAGAAAAUAUAAUCGGAUCAUUGAUCGGGUAAAUGGGUCAAGAAUUUUAACCCUAACCCGACACAGGAAAAAAUCGUGUUGACCCGGACCCGACCCGUUUAAUAAUCGUGUUAAAUUUGACGACCCAUACCUAUUUAUUUAUGUUGUGUUCGUGUCGGGUAAUCGCGUCGUGUCAAAUUUUGCCAGCUCUACUAUUUGUUUCGGUAAAGAGUUUAAAGUAAAGUCUUGUAAUAUAGGUUUAACAGCAACCUCCUCUUGAAUCACCUCAAGCCAUCGUGGUAGCAACAGGGACAUGGCAAACACAGCACCUUGUGGUUGUUCAUGACUUCACGAGAGAGCGUCAGCCACGACAUUCUCCUUUCCCUUCUUGUACUCCACUUUAAAAUCAUAUCCCAUGAAUUUGUAUAGCCAUUUCUGUUGAGUCGUAGUUACGAUUUUUUGGGACCACAGAUGUUUAAGACUUUGAUGAUCAGUCCUAACGAUGAAUUGUUUGCCUAGCAAGUAUGGCCUUCAUUUUUGUAUUGCUAAUGCUAAUGCAAGUAUCUCCUUCUCCUAUGUAGAAAGAAGAAGAUGUUUUCCUCGAAGUGCUUGGCUGAAAUACGCAAUAGGUCUCUCCUGUAAUAAAAUUGCACUAACCCCAUGGCCAGAAGCAUCAUAUUCAACUAUAAAGGUUUUUGAAAAGUUAGGAAGAGAUAAUACAGAGGCUUGCAUCAUGGCUAUCUUGAGCUUUUGAAAAGCCUCCUUCGAAGCCGGACUCCAUUCAAAAGAAUCUUUCUUUAACAUAUUGGUUAGAGGAGCAUCAAUUUUUCCAUAAUGUUGAAUGAAUUUUCGGUAAUAACCUGUGAGUCCAAGAAACCCACGUAAGGCUUUACAUGUGCUUGGUUUCGGCCAUGACAUCAUUGCUUCAAUUUUGCUAGGGUCGACAGCAACUCCCUGCUUUGAAAUAGUAUGUCCCAGAUACUGCACUUCUUCUUUCCCGAAUCAGCAUUUUUCAAGCUUCACUCUCAACUUGUUAGCUUUUAGGAUGUCAAAAAUAAUUCUCAAAUGUUCCAUAUGAGAAUCCCAAUCCUUACUAUAAAUGAGCAUAUCAUAAAAUAAAAAGUACAAAUUUUUGUAAUAAUUCUUGGAAUACCUCAUUCAUAAGUGCUUGGAAGGUGGAUGGAGCGUUGGUAAGCACAAACGACAUUACCAAAAAUUCAUAAUGGCCUUCAUGUGUUCGAAAUGCAGUUUUCUCGACAUCAUUUGGGUGCAUACUGACUUGAUGGUAGCCUGAGCGUAAAUCCAAUUUUGUAAAAAAAUUGAGCUCCUGCUAAUUCAUCUAAGAGUUCAUCAAUCACGGGAAUUGGGAAUUUAUCUUUGACUGUAAUUUGAUUCAACGCUCGGUAGUCGACGCACAUCCUCCACGAACCAUCAUGCUUUUUAACCAACAAGAUAGAACAAAAAUAAGGACUGGUACUAGGGCAAAUAAUUCCAGCAGCCAUCAAGUCUUCGACAAUUUUCUCAAUCUCAUUCUUCUGAAAAUAAGGAUACAUGUAUGGUCUUACUGCAACUGGUCCUCGUCCUUGUAAAAGUGGAAUUCGAUGAUCGUGAAUUUGUCGAGGAGGGAGACCAAUAUGUUCAUUCAAUACUUCCUGAUACCCUUGCAGAAGUUGUUGAACUGGUGUUGGAAUAAAGUCUUUUUCAUCCUUCGCAUCUUCCCCAUGCAUAAUAUGAACGAUAACCCCUUUUUGUCCUCUUGUAAUUUUUGUGACAGGAACAAUAUCACUAAUCUUCUGAGAUGAACUAGUGAGCCCACGUAAAACUACUUCUUUGCCUCCCCAAGCAAACUUAAGAUCUUAGCCACUGAGUACCAAGAACAAUGUCAUAACCGUCAAAAGGAAAAAUGACAAAAGUCUACUGAAAACAAUGACUUUUGCAAUUUUAAUGGAACCUGUGAACACUUUCCUGGGCUGAUUAGUCUUUCACCUGAAGCUACCAUUACAUUCAUUCUGCUGUAGGUAGUUGGUUGGAGAUUUGCACGUUGAGCCAUUUCGGAACUGAUGAAGUUAUGUGUACUACUGGAGUCGACCAUAGCUAUCACAUAAUGCCAUUUGAGUCCUCCUCAGAUCCUCAUUGUUGUUGGCGAUUGAAAACCAGCCAUCGCAUGGAAUAAAAUUUUAGGUUCAUUAAUUGUCUCUUCAGCUUCUAUAACCACGUCUCCAUCUGCUUCCUCCCAACAAGCUUCGAUCAUAAAGAGUUUUUUACAGACAUGUCCGGGGCCAAAUUUGUCAUUACAGUGAAAACAUAAUUCUUUUCGUCUUCUUUCAGCUAGUUCCUCAGAUGUCAUCCUUUUGACUAUCGUCGAUCAUGCUUGGCCACAAGUCUGAAAUUUUACUUGAUUUAUGGGUCUUGAGGACUGGGAAGUAAGUUUCUUUUGAUCUGAAUUACUAGCUUCAAAUAAUCUUGCUAACCCAAUGGUCAUGGUUAAAGUUGUUGGCCUAUUAGCUUGCACAUCAGUUCGAAUACUAUCUCGAAGCCCAGUUAGAAAACAGCUCACCUUCCGGUCUUGUGAUAAGUGCCCAACUUUUGCCAACAGUUUUUCGAAAUGGCCUUGAUAUUCCACAAGUGUGCCGGUUUGCCGUAGCUUUAAUUAAUUCACUAAAAUGGUCUUCAAAUUGGUUGAGGCCAAAUCGAGAAAAUAUCUUAUUCUUGAAAUCUUCCCAGGUGAUAUAAAGUUUUUUUUUUUUUUUUUACCACGAGAUAUCCUGGGGAGUAUCUAACUGUGGGAGGAUCUAACUGUGGAAGGCACCUUUAAGCCUGUACCAUAACCCAAACUAGAAGUUUCCGCUCGAAUCGAGAGGCACAGGUUCUUUCAACAAAGGCGACUUUCCUGCGACUCGAACUGGGGAGCAAAUUCAAUCAAGCCACUUAAGGGGACUCCAUUGCCAGUAGAGCCAACACUUUGUUGGUGAUAUAAAGUAUUUCUUGCUCCAGCAUUUGAAACCAUAGCCGAGCAUCGCCCUCCAAGUAAAAUGAAGCCAGUGUCACCUUGUCUGAUUCUGCAACGUUGUGGAGGGAAAAGUACUUUUCAGCUCUACAUACCCAAGUGGUAGGAUCAUCAUUUCCAUCAUAACGAGGAAAAUCAAGCUUGACAGUCUUUGGAAUGAUGCUGUUCAAUAAGCUAGUGGUCUUGAUUGGUGAUGAAUGUGGGGAUUGCCCUCUAAAUUUCUUUGAGUUUUGAGCUGAACUCUCUCCCAUUUCAUAAGUGUUUUUGCCAGAAACUUGUUGACUUAACUUCUCCAAUCUCUCUGUGACAUGGCAUAAAAGUUAUUUCUGGCCAGCAACAAUCUCCUCUAUGUUUUUUUCUAAUUUCUCAACCCUUUCUGAUAGCUCCAUGCCUGGCUUUGAUACUAGAAUGUUACUCACACAGCUGUUUGUUUAAGGAAAAAUAAGACACAAGUGCAAUUUUGUUAACUCUUCGAGGGGUUAGCACCUCCAAUUGCUCAAUUAAGAAUGAAUUAAUUUGCUAGAUGCCUUUUAUUCAUGACAAAGAAUGUUUAUAUACAGGUGCAGUACAACUGCCAUGAGCAAAACUAGGAACAAUUUAAGUAGAAAAAUCAGCAAAGUGGCUAACAACGUGGCUAAUCAUUUUUGACUUGACUUAUUCAAAUAAACUGACUUAUUCUUGACUAAUUCAAACAAAAUAAACUAGAUUGUAACAGUAUAAUGUGGAUCUGUGAUUGGCAUGGUGACACAACAUGAUAUUUUAGUUGUCAUUUGUCACUCAAGUGAUGAGCUUCCUGCCUAUACUUUUAUUUUAUUUUUUGAAUUGUUACAAAUUUACAAUCAGAGGCGUAACUAGGGUCAAGAAGGUCUAAGGGGCCAGUCCUCCACCAUUUGAAAAAAAUAUAUAUAUACAGAAAAUAUAAGGAUGAAAUUGAAAAUGUACUAAAUUUUAGGCAUAUUCGUUGACUUUGAAAGGAUGGGGAUAUUUCCAACCUACUAUUUUUGUAAAUUCAUUCCACUUCUAGAAAAUAUUUACAAUAAGUUCACAAUAUUCUUAAAAAACACAAAUUAAUAAAAGUUUUAUACAGUUCAUCAAUUAAAUUCUUCUAUUAAUUUUUUCUUAGGUUCUUUGACUAUCUUUGAUCAUAAAUUUUAAUACAAGUUUUAUUUUACUAUUUUAUUAUUAUGAUAUAAAAAGAUAAAAUUACCCUCAUAAAACAUGAGUUAUUAUAUCUAAUAAUUUAGGUAUUUAAUUUUGCGACUUAUAAUUUAAUAUUUUUAAAUGAAACCUAAUUAUUAUUUCAUUUCCCUUGUGUGUAAGUGACAUAAAUUUGAUAGCGUAAUAAUUUACAUGAGAAUUGUGCUAUCAAGACACUAUAUUAGUUUAAUUAAAAAACAAUAAUCUUAAUAAUAAAGUAGUAUUAGAAACAAUAAGUUUGGUACAAAUUAGAAAAAUAUUGAAGUUACAGUAAAUUCUUGAUAAUUUUAUUUUAUAAGGAUAAAAUAGUCAAUUUAAACUUAUGUCAAAGCAAUCUUUUUAAUCAAAUAUACUAAAUAAAUCUAAGUCACAUAAAAGUGAAUUAACAUAGAUUUAAUUAAUUAAUUCUCCAAAUCUCUUCUUAAUUUAAAAUUUUAAAAAAUAAUGUGUAACUUUUAUAAUAAUUUUUUUAAAAAGGGUGAAUUCACAAAAAAAUGUGGGGUGAAAAUAUCAUCACUCUUUUGAAAUUAUAAGCCAAAGCCUUUUUAAGUUUACAGCUUUUAUAAUAUAGUCCUUACAAAGUUUGGUGAAAGCAAACUUAAAUUUAUAGUUCCUUCAUUUAACCUCUCAAACAAUAUCUAGAAUCUACGCCUGAUUACAUUAUAUGGUACAUUACAAUUUGAGGUUUACUAGGAAUCUAAGUGACCCUGUACCACCCACCCUUUUGUUUUUGUUUUUGUUUUGUUUUUUUGAUUAACUGGGCUUUGUUUUUAUAUCAACAAGCCACAUUAUGGUUAAAACUGUUACUCAUUUUCUAAUGCCACAUGGAUUUAUCUAUUUAGUAGUCCAAAUUAAUUAAUCAAGCGAAACCCUCUGCACCCCCUCAGUUUUUGCUGAAAUUUUAAACUUGAAAGAAUCGAAUUAAAUUAACAAGAUAGAAAACCAAUUUCAAGAAGAGAAUAUUGAGCACUAUUUCAAGCACCCAAUUUAAUGAAGGGAAAAAAUUGCUCUCUAUUGAUCACAACAAUCAAGAUACAAGUUGGAUUAUGCAAAGAAAAUUACCAGGAUCAUAAAAAACCAAGUCUUAAACAAAAUAAGCAAGAAAUGAAGAAGAAAUCGAUCUAAAACCAGGAGCUAAUCAUCAGCGCCUUUUAUACUGAUAUCUUUGGGAAGAUACAUAAUGAAUUCUCAACGAGCUUUGCCACAUCAACAUAAAAUUGCAAUAAGACCCCUCCAACUAAAGUCAGUCUACAUAAGACCCCAAGAACUCUUCAAAUCUUGCAUUUAAGCCCAAAACACCAGAAGUUUAUAACCUCACACUCUCUACCUUGCAAACUUAAUUCAAUUGAUCAUUUCAGUAACGAACAUAUAAAAAAAAACCAUUCAAGCACACAGCUUAGCAACUAGAGCCAUUGCCAACACCAAUUCUAUUUACACAAAACUUAAAUUUGGUUGUUGGGAUUACUUUUGUCAACAUGUUAGCAGGGUUGACAUUUGUAUGAAUAUUUGUUACUAGAAUAGAACCUUUUGCAACUUCAUCCCUGAUAAAGUGCAACUUUACAUCAAUGUGUUUGGUCCUCUCGUGAUAGACCUGAUUUUUGAUGAGCUGAAUUGCACUCUGGUUGUCACAAAAAAUCUUAACUAUCUUUUACUUCAACAAAAGUUCAUUUAGCAACCCUCUCAACCAUAUUGACUUUUUUUAUAGCUCGUGUUGCCGCAAUAAAUUCAGCCUUUAUAGAUGAUAAAGCUACUAUGUGUUGUACAAUAGCUUUCCAAUUUACAACGCAGUUGUUUAACAUAAACAUAUAUCCUGAAAUAGACUUUCUCCUUUCUAGAUCCUCUGCAAAAUCAGAGUCAACAUAGUCCUUGACUUCUUGUUUAAAUUUACCAUAUACGAGGCCAUGAUUAGAAGUACCCCUUAGAUACCUCAUGAUCCACUUCACAACAUCCCAAUGUGUCUUACUAGGGUUGGUCAUGAAUCUACUAAAUAAACUUAUUGGAUAUAUUAUGUUUGCUCUAGUACAUACCAUAGCAUUCAUCAAGGUCCCAUUAGCUCGUGAAUAUGGUAUUUGGACUAUUUGAAGCUUCUCAAUUUCUGAUUUUGGAGACAUUUCAUCAAAAAGUUUGAAUUGACCUCCCAAAGGUGUCGAGACUUGUUUUGAAUUCAGCAUCCCAAACUGAUUUAGCACAUUGUUGACAUAUCUUUCUUGGCUUAGAAAUAAGGUUCCAGCAACCCUAUCUUUAUGUAUAUCCAUGCAAAGAAUUCUUUUGGCAUUAGAAAGGUCUUUCGUUUCAAACUCACUCUUAAGUAGAUUUUUAAGCCUUUCAAUAUCACUAGAGCACCCACCUACAAUGAGUAUAUCAUCAACAUACAACAAAAGCUGCACAACUCCACGUGAGUUUAUGUUUCCAUAAUAGACAACUAUUAUAUUUGCUCCUAAAGUAGCAUUAGAAAUCAUAAACUGAUCAAAUCUCUUAUACCACAAUUUAGAAGACUAUUUCAAGCCAUAUGGAGACUUAUGCAGAAGACACACAUAAUCUUUAUGUCCCUAUGCUUCAAAACCUUAAGGUUGUGACAAUAUUAUCUUCUCUUCAAGAUUACCAUGUAAGAAGGCAGUUUUUACAUUCAUUUAUUCAAGCUCUAAGUCAAGUAAGGCUACCAUAACAAGGAAGGUUCUAAUUGAGCUGUGUUUAACAACAGGUGAGAAGAUUUCAUUAAAAUCUUCCCUUUCUUAAAACCCUUUGUCACCAAUCUUGCCUUAUACCUUGAGUCUUCAACACCUGGAAUGCCCUCAUUUUUCUUGUAUAUCCACUUACAACUGACAAUUUUUCUAUUCUAUGGAUUAGGAACCAAUGUCCAAGUCUGAAUCCUUACUAGAGAAUCUAUUUUUUCUCUCAUUGCUUUAAUCUAGUUGCUGCUAUCCUUGCUACUUAAUGCUUUUGUGUAGCUAUUAGGUUUCUCAAUUGAAUUAUCCUCUGCACUCAUUAAUGCAUAUGCAACUAUGUCUGCAUAUUCAUACCUUGCUGAAGGUCUGAUAAACCUCCUUUCUCUAUGUCUAGCUAAGAGAUAUUCCUAUAAGUCAGUGGACUAUGAUAUUGUGCUUUCUGUUACUUCUGUCCCUUAUGAAACACCUUCAGCAGCAUGUGAAACAUCUUCAACAACCUGUGGUUGCAUAUCUUCUUCAUGAAUACUAGAUAGCAGAACUUUAUUCUUGGUACUUUGAUCACUAGUUUCAGCAUUAUUUGUCUUAUUUAUAUUGAUAUUAGUCGUGGAAGAAGCAUGAUCAGACUUAUUGAUCAUUGCAGCUUUAUUAAACUGAACAUCUCUACUAAUUAAACACCUAUAAGCUUUAUUAAAUUGAACAUCUCUGCUAAUUAAACAUACUUGAUGAGAUGCCAAUUUCUAUUGAAAAUAACAACAAAAAGACAAAAAUAUUAAAAGCAUAAAAUCUUCUAAAAACAUCUUACAUCAAUCUCACUCUCUUAAUCCUCAACUUUUGAAACAGUUCGGAGGAUGAAAAUUGUAGUACGGGAGUAAAUCAUCUUGUAACUCGAACUUAUAGUCUUUUUUUAUCAAUAUUUCGUGAAACUUUAAAGAAUUAUUACUCUAUCAAUUUUCCUUGCUGUGAGGUAGCAGAAGCAAAUUGAUAGCAUAAAUGAACACUAGAUAUCAUUUUAGAAACGCCCAAGCCAACGUAAUUAUGUUACACUCUAAUUAAACUAUGAUUAGAUCUUGUUCUAACCCAAACAACUCAUUGAGACUUUGAUAUGACUUUCUGAAAAGAUUAGAUAACACUAUAAUUCUACUAAAACAAUAACAAGAUCUCAUGAUUUGUCAUAGGAUAAACCUACUUCCAAAGUUAACUCAAACAAGAAAAAUAAUAAAUCACAAUUAUACUAGAAUUAUUAAACAUACCUAAUAAGAUGCUGCUUGAAAUGGAAAAUAACAAAAAAAAAAGACUAAAAUAAAAAAAGCCUAAAAUCUCCUAAACCUUCCUACCUCAAUUGUUAUAGAGAAGAAUAAGAAUUGAAGAAGAAACAAGAAAUAAUAAUAACAAUAAAAAGAACAUGUGUCACUUGUACUAGGCGAUGGGUCCAUCGCCCAUUUCAAUAGUGGAUUUUGUUAUUUUUAAAAAUUAAAUUAGUUAAAAGCUAAUUUUAAAAUUUUCUUUGUUAGUUUAGUGAUUGUUGCAUGUUAUACUUUUGUGCCGUUCAUAAUGAUUUGAUUAACAACCUUGUUGUUUAUUGGACUACUUUUUUAUAAAUGUAGUAUAUUUAAAAAUUUCAUUUUGCUACACCGUUUCUUAAAUUGGUGCUGGUUAUUACGACGAUUGUGAUAUUGAGGGUUUUUAUUUAUAAGAACAUAUUGUAGGAGGGUAUUGAGAAAUAUUUUCUCUCGUUUUUUUAUAACGUUUUUGUGCCGUACACAUCAGACAUGUUUUCUAGCAUAUGCCUAAAGUACUGAUGGAGAAAAACUUAUAUCAGGUUUUAUGUUGAGCUGGUGGGAUGGUCUAUUAGAGCUCGGAUUUCAAAAUGAAACACACCAAUUUUGAGACAAAAUAUGAAGGUUGGGGAGACAGGGGGAAAAUCUAAACUUUAACUACUAGGAGUAAGGUUGCCUAUUUGCCUUAGAUCUUUACAAAACGGAAUACUGUGAUCUAAAAUUUGUAAUUUCUGUAAAUUAUUUUAUUGCUUCUGGAAAUGAAGCCACCAUCGAGAACAUGAUAAAUGAACAAGAAUCAGAUGACAACUUGGGAGGGAUUUGUGACAAGAUGAAAUGAUGUGAGAUGAGCUCAGACUUGAGAGGCAUAGGUCUAUCAACAACCUUACCACUACGAAGAGUUAUAACUGACUUGACUUGGUCUGUGGGUGGAUUUUGUUGAAUUUUAGGAUUUGGUUGUGGUUGGGCUGGAAAUUUUCCUUUUUCUUGAAUGGUGAGUGCAGAAGCGAUUUUAGCAAGAGUAUCUUUCAAAUCAGAAAAAGUUUGUGCAUUUUGAUUGUUAAUAACAUCUUGCUGCUGUACCGUACAUCCGCCUUGGCCGUACAGCAGUUUUUAUUAUUAUUAUCUGCAUAAUCAUUGGUUCUUUUUAAAGGAUUUCCUAAUCAAAUAAGAAUAAUUUUACAUUUAUUUUAGAUAUUAUAGUAUAUGUGAGGAUAUAUAUGAAAUGAAAUUAAGUAUAAAAUUGAUUUUUAGAAUUAGAUUUCAAAAGGCUAUUUGUUUCUUAUCUAUUAAAAUCUGCUCUAUGAUGGAAUAAUUUUACCAGAAGUGAUUUAAAAAAAAAAUUACCAAACAUCAAAACUAAUUUUUAACUUUUAAAAUUAUUUUUAAGACUUAAAAAUAAUCUCAAAAGUCCCUAACUCUCUUCGGGAUUACAACCUUUAUACGCUAUUAUUUCUUAUCCUAGCAAGUAUUGUUUAUUAUGUACUUAAAUAAGACACAUCUAACUAAGAGAGGAAAAAAGGGUGGAGAAAAAAAUUCAAAGAUCACUUCUUGUCCUCAUCAUUUUUCAAUUUGAGGACCACCACAACAUAAUUCAGAAUAAGGGUGGGUUUAUUGUCUAGUAUUGCUCCUAUCCUUAAAAAAGAACUAAUGAUUAUGCUGAUAAUAAUAAUAAAAGGAGAAGAAUAAGCCGCCAAAUUCAAUUUAGAGCUAAUAACUUUUUGAGUACUUACAACAACAAAUAAUCUCACUUCGAAAUCACUAAUUUGAGACCUUAAAAUAGCUAAUGCUACAAGGCAGAGGGAAAGAAAUGUUCCUAAAGACAGUCUCAAGUAAGGGGAGUGGAGAUUCGGGAAAAGAAACUUGAAAAAGAUGGUCAGUCUGGAACCACAAACACCGUGUUUGUCAGGUAAUUGGAGAGGACUAGACUAAAAUCAAUCAGGCCCAAAUUCUCUUCAUCUAUCAGGUCUUAGCUCAUCUCACAUCAUUUCAUCUUGUCAAAAAUCCCUCCCAAGUUGUCAUAUGAUCCUUGUUAAUUUAUUAUGUUCUCAAUGGUGGCUUCAUUUCUAGCAGUAAUAAAACAAUUCACAGAAAUUACAAAUUUUAGAUCACAAUAUUCUUUUUUGUACAGAUCUAAGGCAAAUAGGCAACCUUACUCCUAGUAGUUAAAGUUUAGAUUUUCCCCCAUCUCCCCAGCCUUCAUAUGUUUUAUUUGUCUCAAAAUUGCUGUGUUUCAUUUUGAAAUCCGAGCUUUACUAGACCAUUCCACCAGCUCAACAUAAAGCCUAACAUAAGUUUUUCUCCAUCAGUACUUUGGGCAUAUGCUAGAAAACAUGUCUAAUGUGUACGGCAUAGAAAAGUUAUCAGAAAAUGAGAGAAAAUAUUUCCCAAUACCAUUCUACAAUAAGUUCUUAUAAAUAAAAACCAUUGGAUGAGCUCAAUAUGAUAUUCGUUGUAAUAACCAACACCAAUUUAAGAAACGGUGUAGCAAAAUGAAAUUUUUAAAUAUACUACAUCAUUUAUACAAAAGUAGUCGAAUAAACAACAGUAAAUAUUGUAUUCCAAAAAUAUCUCUGUAAAAUAACUUAUUUCCUAAACUAUAAAAUAUAAUCCUCUUUUUUUGUUUUAAUUUACAAAGACAUAAAUGUCAAAUAACCAAAUUUAAGAUAUUUUUUAUUGUAAAAACAAACAAGAUGCCACUUAUAUUCAAAUAUUUAAAAGAAAAACAAACAUGUUAUUCAAAAUUUCGUAUUCAGACCCAUUCAGACUUUAAAAAAAUUAAGACUCAUUUAGAUUUCAGACAAAAAAACAAACGCUACCUAAGAAUCUACUCCGACCUCUUUUUUCUUAACCCUUCCCUUGAUAUAUAACAUAAUUACAUUUAUUAAAAUAAAAUAACGUUACAUUUAUUCAAAUAAUAUUAUUACAUUAUUUAAUAAUAUCACAUUUAUUAAAUAUUAUUAUUUACAUUACUUCUAAGUUAAAAUUACUUAAAAAUAAUAUGAUUAUAUUUAUUUAAAAUCAAUAAUUUACAACAAUUACAUAAUUAAGAAUAUUAAUAAUAAUUAUUAACUUAUAUGAUUAAAAUUAAUAAUAAAGUAAAUAGUUAAUUUUGGAAAUAUUUUUUAUUCACUUUGUAAUUAAAAAACUAUAAUUUUUUAAAUAAGGGCAAAGUUGUAAUUUAAAAUAAUUCAGUCAUAAUUUAAGAUAAAGUAAAUAUAUAAAUGAGAUUAUAAUUCCUAUUUCACACUUUCAUUCAGUAUAAGUAAACAAUACACCCUCACUCCCACUUCACAUUCUCAAUCCCAAGGUUCUCACUCCUUCAGAUUCCCAAUCUAAUUCAAAAAGUAAACGCUACCUUAUAUUUAAUGAUUUGUGUCUAAGGAAUAUAGAUAUUAAUCUUUUUUUUUUUUUACUUUUUUGUCAAAACCAAAUUCUAGCCAACAUAAAAAAAAAAUUAUGAAAUUAAUUAUUUUUUAUUGCAUGGAUACCCUCGAUUCUAUGAUUUUUGUUGGUUAUAAUUGCAAGAAAUUAAUGCAAAAUUUUCAAAUAACAAAGCAAACAAACAACAAAAAAUUUUAAGUAAACAGGGGUUUAGGAUGCGGUGAGUGUCAGAUAGUAUGACUGAAAUGAUUACUUAUUCCUUUUGAUAAUUUCAAAAGAAAUAAAAUCGUAAUUUAGAAAAAAAAAUUAAAAGGUUGUUAAAAGAUGAAAAAAAUGGAGUGCCCGUAGCCCCGCUAAAAUAAUAAUAAUAAUAAUCAAAAGCCCAAAUAGCAAGGCCUUUGAGCUUAGAGAGUAAAUAUAUUCAGGCUCUUUUGACAAGAAACCUCGAUUGGCUUGAUUGGGCCGGCCGAACCGGUCCAAUAAAGUUAAAGCUUGAGUGCGGAUAUCUUUUUGGUUGGUACUGCAGUGGCCUUGAGCUUGGGCAUUGGAGCAACAUUACCUAUUGAAAAAUCUUUAAUUUUAGGUCUUUUUAAAUUGAUUCAAUUGUAAAAUAUUAUGACGCGUGUAUCUAGGAAGUAGUCACUUCAAAGUCAAAGUGAAUUCUCCUUAGAUAUUUCUAUUCAAUUUAAUUCCAGUCUAAAUAUAUAGACAGGUUUAAAGGUGCAAAAUGGAGAUAAAAUUUACUCUGUUUCUUUACUGUAAAAGACAAACGUUGACCAUGCAAUUUUUCUUCUCCACGAUAUUUGCUGGUAGCUAAUUAAUUAUCCAUGGUCCCGGAUUUCAUUUUUUUGGGAAGGAUUUUGAAUUCCUUGAAGCCUCCCCAUUUGAACAACUCGAUCAGGACACUCUCGACUUUUAGUUUCAAAGUUUUGGUCAGCAAACGGAACUUAGAAAACGAAAGUCUUUGUGUGGGGUAGUCUUACAAUCGAACUCGACAUUUGGUAGGUAGAGAGACCUCAUGAUAGGAUUAUGGGAUCCACCAAACCUGUCAAAUAAUAUGUUGUGAUUGUUAAAGUGCAUUAUUUUAACAUGUUUAAAUGAACAAUAUAAUAACUAAAUAAAACAGCACAAGUAAGAUAAUGAUACUUUAUUGAUCGCUAAAAUACGUUCAAUUAAAAAGCAGAUAAAAACCACGAUAAGAAUAGAUAACGAUCGAGUCCAAACACCUCUACGAUGAUAAAUUCAAGAGAAAUGAAAAAAAAAUACAAAAUAAGUAAUUUUAUUAAAUAAGAUAAUUGACAAACUCUUUGAGAUUACAACAUAUUUAGUGGAAUAUUUUUUACGUACUCGAAUAAGACUCAUAAUCUUAUCCUACAUCUUUUUCCAAUUUGAGGGCCACCGAAACAUAGUUGAGAAUUUACGUGGCCCGAAUGAGUAGUAGUUUGGUGUUGCAGCGUAAUUCCCAUCCAAUAUGCUGAUAUUUAGAAUAACUAAUAAAAAAAAAAUGCUCGCAAAUUUUAUAUGUGCCUGGCGAAUAACUUACAAGUGCUUUCAACAUCAAUAUCUGUCAAGAGUCGCGCGAAUUAAAACCUGGGUCCAAAAACGACAGCGUAUCAGCCUUAUCUGUGUUUAAAUUAGUCAUAUGCAACUCGCGUGACUCAUGAUUCAAUUCGCAAGCAUCAACACAUGUUUAUUUCAAGCGUUUUGGUGGCUGAUUAAGUGAGACUCGUGAGCAAUGCCUGAGAAGCUUAAGCAGAGGUCGUUAAAACCGUUAUGAUACGUGGCAGCAAUCUGUGCAUUCUGGGUUUAUAAGUCGCAGCUGAUUCCGAUUUAAAAGCUGGUCGUUGGGAGGGUUUUGGGCUCAUGUGUAAAGUGCUAUAGAGAGAUAUUGUAGAGAGAGAAACUUGUAUUUUUGUUCUCUGUAAUCAAUUCUAAAAAACCUUUUAAUUCUCCAUUGAAUUAAUUAAGAAGCUGAUCGAGUUCAUCCCCGUGGAUACAGGUCACUGAGAAGUGGGUGACCUUGUAAUAUUGUGCGUCUCCGUUUGAUCUUUGGCUUGUAUUGCAGUUCAUUUGAUUCUUGUGCGUUGAUAUAAGUUCUUGAUAGAUUGAGUCCAUUGAUUUCAAUGAUCCCAUUCAGAUUCACAUUAGUUUGCAUCUUAAUUGAUCUCUGUCAAGAUCUUGGGCAGUAGUUAAAAUUGUUUAGUUAUUUUGGCAUUCUGGUUACUACAAAAUCUGACGCAAUCCAUUGAUUUGUUUAUUCAUUCAUUUUUAAAUACAUUGAGAAUUUUUUAAAUUAUGUAGACUUUCUAAUUCCUUGAUAAUCACGGUGUUUGUGGUCCCUGACUAAUCAUUUGUGUCAAGUUCUCUUUCCGUGUUCAGUACUUGACGUAUAUUUAAAAAUUGCAUGAGGCAAUUGGUUUUGUGAAUUACUGCAAUUUGUCACAAAUCUAUAAUAAAUUGACUAAUGAUGUCACUUAUUCCAGAUGAACAAUAUAAAAUGUUAUUCUUUGAACUGAUAUAGCUACUGAAUGAUUGUCUGCUGUAUUGAACAUUAGAUUAUUUGCCUUCAAAUACCAAAUAAAUAAAUAAAUAGAGAAGGGAAAUAUGUCUUCAAAGGUAGCAUGUAAUGAGCCAUUUAGAGUUAUCAGCAGAACAGAUAUGCUGCCGUAAACAUGCAGAAUUAUAUUGCAUUAUACAGUUCCUCACUUGCUUUAGAAAGUUUAAAACUGGAGAAAAUAGAGAAAUCAAACAAAGAAGCAAAAUAAUCGAUGCUGCCCAGAUAGAUGACUAUCGAGGAUAGAUUAAUGAAACAGUUACAUCAUUCACAGAAUGAAACUGGGACGUUCCACUACUGGAAUGAGAUGAAUUAUUCAUGUUUUUACUGUUUGUAAAAGCAGGUUCUUUGGGAGAAGGUAAAUUAAGAUGCUCACUCUCAAUCAUCGAGAUAACAUCCGACAUGAUUGGUCUAUCAGCUGCAUUCUCUUGAACGCAGAGAAGAGCCACGUUUAUGUAUCUAAUCAGCAUUGGCAAUGAUACUUCAUCUUGCUUUAUUACUGGAUCCAUCAAUUCAUGAGCUCUGUCAUCUUUCCAUAAGCCCCAAGCCUGAAAAGAAAUGUCCACGAUCAAUAUUAGUUUAAUUUACAGAAGCAAUUUUUGACUUUUCCAAUUUAUAUUUUACUCAUUAAAGAUGGAACAUAAGUGAAACAAUUUGUCACUUACAUAUCCAAGAAGGUUAGAGGAAUCACUAUUGUAGACGCCAGUGUUCCUCUUGCUACUCAAUGUUUCCAACAUUAAUACUCCAAAACUAAACACGUCUGAUUUGAUGGAGUACAGGCCUUCCAGGGCAUACUCAGGUGACAUGUAACCACUAAAUUUCCAUUGUUUCAAUUAAUAUUGAGUGAUCUAAGAAAACAGGACAAGCAAACAUCAUUUUUCAGGAAUGGAGUUUUACUUACUAAGUUCCAACAAUCCGUUUAGUAUUUCCCUCCAACUCAUCACCACCAAAUAUUCCUGCCAUGCCAAAAUCUGAUAUUUUGGGGUUCAUGUCACUAUCUAAGAGAAUAUUACUUGCUUUAAGAUCUCUGUGAAUAAUUCUUAGUCUAGAAUACUGAUGAAGAUAUAAUAGCCCUUGAGCAAUUCCUUCAAUGAUUCUAACGCGUGCUUGCCAACCUAACAGGCGCUUUUUCUUUGGAUCUGUUGCAAUGCCAAAAUGAAUACUGAUCAGCGUAAAUGAUAACAAGUUAAAAACAUGGAGAUAAUAAAAUUCGACAGAGCACUGGAAAGUAGUGGAAAUACUUAAAUCUUGUGAAUGAUAAGUCACAUACCGAAAAGGAAAACAUCCAAGCUUUUGUUAGGCAUGUACUCAUAGAUUAAAAUGUUUUCGCCUUGUUCUAUACAGCAACCAAAGAGUCUGACAAGGUGUCUGUAAUGGAGUUUUGCUAUAAUCAUUAUCUCAUUUUAACGGCAACUUCUUGUCCAUUAAGUAGUCGACCCUGCAUUUUUUUAUUUUGUUAAUGUUUUACAGCAGCAGCACUUCAUUAAGGACAUUUGAGGUAGCAACAAUUCUACCUUGUAAACAGGGCCAAAGCCACCUUCUCCAAGCUUACAUUGCGUAGAAAAGUUUUCUGUAGCAGCAGAUACACUGGCCAAGCUGAAUAAUGGCAACCAAGAAUCCUUGCUCUUAUCAUUUCCUUCUCCAUCUGCUUCACAGAGUUCAUUUGUUCUUGUUGUAAUGCUCAUAUUUAUGUCAAAUGCUAACAGAUCCCAGUUUGCUUCCAUAUUCUCUGUUUCGGUAUGACUAACAACUUUUAAAAUUGUAAUUAUACAUGCUUUAUCACAUGCCUUAUCAUAUGAAAAUAUCACCGAGUGAUAUGAAGGGAAAAAAUUUACCUUUCUCUUUGUGUUUUCUCCUCCUUCGUCGAAAUAUGUAAAAAGAAGGAAGAAGUACCACCGGAAGAACAAGUACUACAAUUAUCCAGAGUAGUUUCUUGUUUCCUACAUCCAGAAACAUACAUGUUAUCAAAGAAAUCAAACGAAUUGCAGAUAAACAUGUUAUCAAGCUGAGCCAGAUAACUUAAUUACUUAAGCUACUUCUGACCUAUGUUGGUUUCUUUGUUUGUUAGCUUUGUUCAUCUGUUCUUUCACAAAUUAAUUCCUUAAACUCUUGGCUUAGCUUUUAGGAUGAAGCCUUACUAUGACAAACAAUUGGAGAAGUUUUGCUACAUCAACUUCCAUAAUGAAAAAAGUUGAUUCCAGAAUGCAAAAACUGUACCUUGUUCUGGAGCGGGCACUCGUAUGUAGACAGACUGUCCGGUGAAGUUGCUAAUUGGCUUUCUGAGAUCAAUCAGAUCCCCAAACCACAUUAAACAGCCACUGCCUCCUCCUGUUAGUUUGGAAUUGGCAUAAGCUCUACAGGAACAGUUCUUCAAGCACUUAGCCUGACAUUGAUUCAAAUUCAUACUGUCAUUUAGGGAAACCUCUAGCAAAUCAGGCGCUUUAAAGUCAUCAAGCUUUAUAAACUGGUCUCCACUUUUGCAAUCUGAAGAUCUUUCACAUUUUCUGGGCCAAGUCUGGUUGUUUUGUGAUUUGAGUUUGAAUCCCCUCAAACACUGACAGAUAGGUGUCUGGUCCAGGCUGCAAAUACUGUUGGGACCACAAUGCCCAUAAUUACCACAAUAUCCAUCUGGAACUGAGAAAACAAGGUCCCACGCAGUGCUCCUCUCGUUCCAUAUUAGACGCGUGAGCAGACCCGAGGGGUUGACUGUUAAGAUCAUUAUGUUUGGACUGUUAUAGGACUCAUACCUGAAAGAAAUUUCAUCUUUAUUUUCCACCAAAACUUGAUCAUAAAGAAAGUUUGAAUAUGGAGCAGCUACAAAGGCAGCUCCAUUCCAUUGUCCGGUACAGGUAUAUUUUGCAGAACCAUUGAACGUGCAUAAUUUAGGCGACACCUGAAUGUCAAGUCCGAAGGUAAACUUCCCAGGGGAUGGAUCGUCAGCACUUUCCCAUGAUGAUAAAUAUCGUUUCAGACCAGUCUUCAAGUCCCAGCCCAACUUCAUGUCUGGUAACAGAGUGUCUGUUAAGUAGUCGAAGCUCUGCCACAAGUAGCUUUCAGUAGUAUGACUGCUGGAGUUAUCCGUAAUAACGAGGUUUCCAUUAUCUAAGAGUCUUGCCACUGGAUUUUUCACUUGUCUAGAUACGUUUGUAGACCAGAUAGUGCCGUUUGUUUGGUUGAGAAGAACGAGAUUUCCAUUGUUGCCAAUGGUUAAUACUGCGUUAUGAUCGGAGAUAGGACUAUUUCUAUUGGCAACCCAUAAAACCGUAUCAGGGAUCUUCUGGUACCAUAGUCCCACGUACCUGUUCUUUGAUUUUCCAGGGGAGAAAAAGCCUAGCUCAAACCUUUGAGAAGAUGAAACUAACUUCUCGCCGUCACGGAUGAACGAUGCUGGGGUUAGUGUAUCAGCUGCUAAUGAAACCUUUAUGCCCAACAAGAAGAUCAAAGAACGAAAGAUGUUGAAGCAUGGACGAUUCUCCAUUCAUAAAACAGAGAAGAAAAAUCUCUAAUAAUUGUUUUGAGAUCGGGUUCAUUUCAAUUUAUGAAAACAAAAGUCUCGGUCAGCUGUGAAACAAACAAGUCUGUUUCUUGACCUCAAUUCUCAUGAUGUUAACUUUUGAAGUCUUGUAAACUUUCCAAAACGCUGAGUAUGGGUGGAAAAAUACGUUUGUGUUUAAUGAUAAAAAAAAUAAAUUAUUGCCAGAUUUUCUAUUUCUUUGUCCUUGUCGUAAGCAAUUUUAUAAGUUAGUUUGAAAUUUUGAAAUACUUUAUCAUUCGAUUAUUGACUUUCCAGAGAAAGGAUAUUCGAGCCUUUCGUUCGGUUCCUAUAGCGUCUAAUGAUCUACAAUUAAUUGUGUUUUUCAUGUAGUUGCUGACAUAAUCUCCCCAUCAUCAUUCCUGAUAAUAGCCCCCAAGCUUGUAAUCUUUUUCAAUAUUAAUUUCAGGACGUUGAUGGAGCCUUCUGAGGACUUAUCUCACAAUUCUUCCCAAAAAAAUAAACAAAUUUAAUAUUUAAGUCUAAGCUAAUAAAAAUUGAUUUAAAGCACCUACUACACUAAAACUACUCUAUAAUUAUAAUAUAGGGACCAAAUUAAUUUUAUUACUGAGGUUAUAGCUUAAAAAAGUGUAGUUAUAAGAUUAUUGUUUUAGCUUAGUUAUCAUUAGUAUAAAUAAUACAGGAUAAAGUAUAUACUACACUAAUGGUUAAAAAAUAGAGCUUGUCAUAUUCAUUAUAUAGACAAGUGGUUUGAUUUCUUUGGUUUAUUCAAUGCAUGUGGAAAUGGUGGUUCAGGUGGAACACUAGUUACUUCUUCACUAGGUGUAAGUUCAUUAAGUCCUUCCUUACCCUUUGAAUUUUCAUUAUUUUCAUAAGGUUUAGGCAUAGGUCUAUCAACAACCUUACCACUACGAAAAGUUAUAACUGACUUGACUUGGUCUGUGGGUGGAUUUUGUUAAAUUUUAGGAUUUGAUUGUGGUUGGGCUGGAAAUUUUCGUUUUCUUGAAUGGUGAGUGCAGAAGCAAUUUUAGCAAGAGUAUCUUUCAAAUUAGAAAAAGUUUGUGCAUUUUGAUUGUUAAUAACAUCUUGCUUUCUGAUGAAUGAAUGCAUUGUGUCUUCCAGAUUUUUCCAGGGUGGUGGAACAUAUGGUGCAUAAGGCUGAGGAUUUGAUGAAUGAAUGGGAGGUGGUGCUUGUGAAGAUUGUGCAUUAUUAUUAUUCCUCCAACUGAAAUUCAUUUUGAUUAUUAAUAACAUCUUGCUUUUUGAUGAAUGAAUGCAUUGUGUCUUCCAGAUUUUUCCAAGGUGGUGGAACAUAUGGUGCAUAAGGUUGAGGAUUUUGAAAAUUUUUCUCCAACCAUGCUUGUGAAGAUUGUGCAUUAUUAUUAUUCCUCCAACUGAAAUUCGGAUGAUUUCUCCAACCAGGAUUAUAAGUCUGUGAAUAUGGGUUUGGUUUAUUGAAAGUGUUAAUGACAUUAGCUUGAUCAUUUAGACAUUCUUUAAGUGCAGGCAAAGUGGGACACUCUUGAGUGAAAUGAUCAUUCGAAUUACAUAUGUUACAUGCAAUUUCUUGAACAGAUUUUACUUGAUAACUCUUUUUAUGCUCCAAAGCUUCAACUUUCCUAACUAGGGAUGCAAAUUUUGCUUGUAAAUCAUGAUCUUCCCUAAGGUUAUGGAUUCCUCCACUAGAUGGAGAUGAUUGUUGCUUAUUUGUCAAUUCAAAAGUUCCAACAGUAUCCCAAUGUUGUGCAUUUUCAGUUAAUUGGUCAAGGUAAUCUAGUGCAUCUUCAGGAUUUUUAUCCUUAAAUUCACCAUUACACAUCAUUUCAACAAACUGUCUACUUUGGGGUAUUAAACCCUCGUAGAAAUAAGUGACCAAUCGCCAAGUUUCAAAACCAUGAUGUGGGCAUAUGUUAAGCAACUCUUUAAACCUAUCCCAACAUUGGUAUAAUAUUUCUCCAUUUUUUUGAGUGAAAGAAGUGAUUUGCCUUUUAAAAAAAUUUGUUCUAUGAGGUGGAAAGAAUUUUUUCAAAAACUGUUCUUGCAUGUUAUUCCAAGUUCUUACUGAUCCAGAUCUAAGGUUUUGUAGCCAAGUUUUAGCUUUAUCUUUUAAUGAAAAAGGAAAAAGCUUUAAUCUAAUUAUGUUCAUGCUACAAUUUUGGUCCGUGUAUGUAUUACAAACUUCCUCAAAAUCUCUUAGAUGCAAGUACGGAUUCUCAGAUUCUAAACCAUGAAAUGUUGGUAAAAGUUGGAUAAUACCUGGUUUAAAGUUGAAUCGAGAUGCUUCUGGAGGAAAUACUAUACACGACGGUGCUCCGGUUCUGGUUGGAUUCAUGUAGUCUCUCAGAGUUCUUGGUUGAUUCUGAUCAUGCCCAUGUUGAGAUUGGUUGUCUCCCUGAUCAAUUUGAGGGUUAAGUUCGCCCAAAACGUUUUCGCCUUGAUUCUCAUGCAAUGGUUAUGUUAUAAAGAUAAUAUUUACACAAAUUGAUAACAAAAUAAAAUAAAAAAAUAAAUAAGCAAAUAAUAUAAGUGUACGAAAGAAAAUUAAAUAACAAUUUUGGUGGUUGAACCCACCAAUAAAGUAAAAAAUUUACAAAAAGAAAAAUGGUCAUACCAUAUAAUUUUUGAUGAUAUUAAUGUUCAUAAUGAUAUUAGAAUAUACAUAAACACUAAAUUUUUAUUAUGUGUGAAAUAGUUUCAUGUUAUAUUUAAUCAUUUUAUAUAUUGCUGACAUUAAAGUUCGGCUCAACAUUGUGAUUGGGUUUUUAUAGAGAUCAAGAUAGGAACUAUCCUCGGCGUGGUGCUAUAAGACUUCAACAAAUCGGGUAUGAUGGCCUACAAGACAGUGAAAACAACAAAGUAAGGGUGCCAUGAUUGUUGCCAGUGAAGACCUUCUGAUGCUUAAGCCUGAAACCAAGUGGUUAGAUGAUAAUUGCAAGAGAGUUCUAAAUAGAAAAAGAGAGAGCUCUGGUAUUGUUUUUUUACUUGAGAAUCCAAAAUACUUACAUUGUGGGCUGAUGCCCUUUUAUUGACAAAUCUUACAAAAUUCACAUAGUAUUUGGAAUGCUUGGUAAGGUAGCAUAUACCAUAACUAUUGUCGUAUUUGGUUUACACUAUCGACAUGUAAUGGUUAGAAAAAUAAGGUAUAAUAAGGAGUCCUUUUAUUUCACCUGUGCUAGAAAUAGGACAAGAGAACUUAUGAAGAUAGUAUAACAUAAGAUUAUAAUUGGGUAAUCGUAACAACUCUAAUAUAUAUGCAAGGUAUAAGGACAUUAGAUAUUUGAGGAUAAGAUCAAAGUCAAACAUGUAUGAAAUAAUAAUGUUAAAAAUUUUCUUGGAAAUGUGCACUCAUUAAUAGGAUAUGACGUGCACAUGUGCAGCGAAUAGGCAUGUUCCGUCAUCAUCGACUACGUGGCAAGAUCUUAAACACUAGCAGAUAAUCGUACACCUAGUGAAAAAUGGAGGGAAGUAACCGAAAAGCGCCAAUUGAGUGAGUAAUUCAACCGGCAAUAGUAGAUAUUGUGUUUGAAAUGGUUAGGGAUUUUAUUAGAAACUUAAAGCAAUUUGAAAAUUAAAAUGACGAAGGAAAAGGGGAAGAGCGACAAAGGAAUCAGAAGAGAAAAUAAUCUAGUAAGGUAAUAAUAGUAGAAAGUAAAAAAGAAAAAGAAAGGAAAUCUGAAAAAGGAUCAACUAGUCUGUUUCCCUAAGUCAUUCCUCUAUUUUACCGUUCAUCCUCUAUUGUUGAUUUUAUUUUUUUCUUUGUUUAGAAUUUAUAUGAAUAAUGUUGAUAAACUAAAGUUUUGAAUAGGUAUAGUUAUUAAAGUGUGUUGGUUUGAUGUUUCUAAGGAAAACAUGACCAUUUCUUUGAUAUGUGUCCAUAUAACAAGCAAUAACCAAUAAAGCUUCCCACGUACUUUGACCAUGCUUGGAUAUAGUUUUUAGUUUAGUUUUGAAAAUAAAUGGGUACUUGACAUAUGGUUUGCUAACUACGAGUGCAAUAUUGCCCCCCUUUCUUAUUAUUAUGUGUUCCAUGCAUUACUGCUUUAUGUGCAUCUUUUGUUGUUUAUAGGUAGUUAGUAAUGUGAAUCAUGUGCUCCCAUUGGCUUUUAUAAAAAGCCUAAUAGUUGUUUGAAUAAAGUAUCAAAAGAACUAUUGUCCACAAAGCGAUUCUUUUCUUUAAAUUUCUUUUCCUUUUUUAGUUAUUGUUACGUUAGUCCAUGCAAAUUAUUGAUCAAGUGUUAUUAGAGCAUCCAACGAUCCAUGGCCACACACAAUAAAUCUAAUUAUGAAUUUUGUGAAGAGGUUCAAGAAAUUCUUACAAUACAUGACUUUAAGUUUUGACCAAGUUUGCACCGCCCUAUAAACAAUCCUUACUAAACUUCAAUUUUUGUAUCUUCAACACACUUCCCAGGAUGGGGAAAUCAACAAGCAAGAUGAAUAACAUGUAAAGUGCCUUUGAGUUGAUGGCAACUGGAUGGCAUAGUUAGCAAGCACAUAUGGUGCAAUCAAUAAUUCCCUCAUUUACGUUCGCCACUGCUCACAUUCUCUUACACCAACCAAUCUUAUUUUACACCUCCAAUCUAGAUCAGUCCCAUACCCAACUUAAACUUUCUUUCCCAAAGUUUAGUGAUGACAACCCAACUAGAUGGAUUUACAAAGUCUACCAACACUUUGAUUUCCAAAACUUUGCUUCGAAAUAGCAAGUCUAAUUGGUCUUUUUUCAUCUUGAAAGAGUAACACUCCAUUGGCAUCGAUGGUUAACCAAGUUCAAAGGACUUGAGACUUAGACUGAGUUUACUAAAGAUGUCUUACUUCGCUUUGGUCCAACGGAUUAUGAGAAUCCUUUUGAAGCUUUAACACACCUAAAACAAACUUUCUUAGUGGCCGAGUAUCAGGAAUUUUUUUAAAUGCUUUCUUAUCAAAUGGAUGGCUUGCCUGAAACUAUUUUAUUUGGUCGUUUUGUUAUAGGCUUGCAUGAUGAGAUACGACUAGAUGUCACUAUUAAAUAGUCCUGUACCUUGGCUGACAUCAUUAAUAUGGCAAGACAAAUUGAGGAGCGAAAUUUACUUUACAAAUGCAGUAGUCACUUUUUCUCGACCAACAUUAAUAUCUAUGCUAUGGCAGCCAACCCUAACUAAUUUUACUAAGGUAUUGGCCCCUAAGGCUAAGGACACAAUAUGUGCCAAUGCUUCUCCUCUUAUUUGGUGAUUGUCUAACCAACAAGCACGAUCUCGCCGAUUGUGCUAUUAUUAUGAUGAGAAAUUAUUUUCAGCCCACCAUUAUUAAAGGCAUAACUUUUCAUGAUUGAAGACCCUCCGUUGAUUGCCCCUUUUGAUACUCGCAAUCUAAAUAAAGACCUACCUUUGACAAAAACGCUGACUGGAAUUUCUUUCCACAUCAUUGCUGGCAUAACUCGUCCAAAAACCCUUCAUUUUAUAAGAAAAUUGUAGAAUAAGGUUGUGACAAUCCUCAUCGAUGGUGGUAGUACCCCUAACUUCAUUGACCAAGUAGUAAUGACAAAAUUUAGUCUUUUAGUUAUAUGUGAUCAACUACUCCAAAUGAUCAAAAGAUAUGAGGAAAUCUCAAAUGUCAUAAGGACAAAUUGAAUGAUAUGUCGAGAUCUUAAAUGUCAUGAGAUGGGCCUCAAAAUUAAAAUAAGGCCUCGACAAAUGCUAGGUAUCUUGUAUUCGAGCCACAACAAGGGCCAUAAUAAUCAAGGUCGGGCCGCGACAAGAAACAAAAUAAUUGAGAUCGGGCCAUAGAUGAGGGCUAAUAUAAUUAUAAUUGGGUCGUAGAUGAGGGCCAAAAUAAUUAAGAUCAAGCCAUAGUAAAGGACAAAAUAAUUAUCAUUUGGCUGAGAUAUUAGGAACCUUUAGAAUGCCAUGAAGAUAACUUGAAUAACAGGAGGAGUACUUAAAUAUUAUGAGGUCAUGAGCCUGAGGUCGAGGCAAAAAUGAUGAGGCUAAACUAAGUGUUGUGAGAUUGAGGCUUAUGAGUAUGAAGUCGAGCAAAAUCAUGUAAUGAAGCUUAAAGAUGAGGCAAGCAUGGCAAAACCAUAAAUUAAAACAAUAAAGGGGUAAGAUUAUAAUUUUGGGAUUUUAAAGUUUUACUUAGCCGACCAUGGUAGUUGGAAAUCAAACGGUUGUGGCUAAGAUAGAAUCUUCAGCUUGCAUGGAGCCUAAUGGUAGUGGCAGUUUGCACUGAAGUUGUCAUGACUCAAUCCAGACCUGGCAAUAUAUUGUCCGCUUUGGGACUUAAUAGAGCCCGUACGGUUUGGUUCCUGGGGCGCCUAUACACCUUAAAACAUAUCUUUACCAAUUAAGGUAUGGAUCACCCCUAAUAAACCUAGAAUCUCUCCCUGUGCUUUGUUGAUGUGGGAUUCGCCUAGUGUGUUACAUACACCCUCUUAGGGACUCAGCGUCCUUAUUGAGGUUUGCUCCACUAUCGUUCAAGGGGACACGCGGAGCUGCUCUGAUACUAUUUGUCAUGACCCAACCUAGACUUGACAAAAUAUUGUCUGCUUUGCGCCUAAAUAAGUCCCGCACAGUUUUAUUCCUGAGGCGCCCAUAAACCCCAAAUCGUGUCUUGCCAAUUAAGGUGUUGAUCACCCCCUUAGGAACUCAGCGUCCUCGCUGAGGUUUGCCCCAUCAUCGCUUAAGAAGACACGCGGAGCCACUCUGAUACAAUCUUUCAUGACUCAACCUAGACUUGGCGAGAUAUUGUCCGCUUUGGGACUUAGCAAGGAAUGCACGGUUUUGUUCCUAGAGUGCCCAUACAACCCAAAACGCGUCUUCCCAAUUAAGGUGUGGAUCACCCUUUAUAAACCCAACAUCUAUAACUUGUUUUGUCGAUAUGGGAUUCGCCUAGGGUGUUACAUAUACCCGACCUUAGGGACUUAGCGUCCUCGUUGAGAUUUACCCCACUAUCGCUCACGAGGACACAUGGAGCCGCUCUGAUACCAUCUAUCAUGACCUAACUUAGACUUGGCAGGAUAUUGUCCGCUUUGGGCCUUAACAAGGCCCGCACGAUUUUGUUCAUAAAGCACCCAUACACACUAAAAAGCGUCUUGCCAAUUAAGAUAUGGAUCACCCUUUAUAAACCCAGCAUCUCUCCCUUACUUUGCCGAUGUGGGAUUCGCUUAGGGUCUUACAGACGUGCAGUUGGCGAUGACAAAUUGGGACCCUCAACUGCAUUUGGUUUUGAUGGCUGUGUACAACAAAUUUGAUGGCUUUUAGUUGUUGGUAGCAAUUAGAAAUUAAAGGAGAUGCAGCAAGGAACAAACCCCAAGUGGUUAGAGAGUUGCAGUCGCGCAUAUUUUAUUGGCAAAUCUGGAGGCUUUUGGACGACGGUGAUGGUUGGAAUUUGAAGGUCUUCUGCUAGGAGCAAAACUUAGGUGUGACGGGUCAAAAAAUCUGCAUCAGAUUGCGACAAUAAUUUUGCAAAAAUUGUAGCUUCUUAUGGUUGUUACUGGCCAUUUUUCAGCGGCAGUGUAAGUGAUGUCUUGCUCGGUGAUUCUUUGAGGGUUUCAAUAGUGGUCCUUAGAGAUUGAAUAUGUAGUAUUUUGGCUGCUGUUAGUGGUGGCUUGAUUUCUUUCGGGUUUAUCCAACCCAUUUUCUUUCUUUCUUGAUUCGUGAUAGUUGUUUUUGUUGUUUAUUUAUCCUUAACGAUUGAGCUAUUUAGACUUUUUGGUCGUUGCCCAAAGACAUGCCAACUGUUACAUACUAAAAUUUGGCUUAACAAUAAGAGUUGAGAAAGAGUUCGUUUACUCGGGAUAUAUACUGUGUUGGAGUUUGAUGUCCUCAACAUAAAGAGCUUGGUGGUCGGAGUCCUACAGAAUAAUAACUCAUCAGAGCUUGCUAAGGGUGUUACCGACAUAAACUCUCUGAUGUUUAAGUCAGAGAUCGAGAGUAGAACAAUAACAAAUAAGUAAUAAAAGAAGAGAAAGUCAGUAAGAGAAAAAGCUUAUAGGAUAUUGUACCUCCUCCUCCAAUAUGCAUAUUUUGCAUACCUUACCUUUUUUUUAUAUACUUUCGAGUGGUGACCUUUUAUAUAAGAGAAAAUAGUCAGAAAUAUAAUUAAUUAGUAAACUUUAUCUCCUGUUUUCUAGGAUUUGAGUUUGAUGAGGAUUAUGACUUAUAUUAUUUUAUCUUAUUUAGAUUAGGACAUGCAAUUGGACGUUGAUCUUUGAGCUUGGGUUUGAUUAAAAAUAUGGGUAUAACAGUAGAUAUUCACAAGAUAUCUGCACAAAAUCCUUGGGUAGAGCUUUUGUAAAUGAAAGAGAUACUAUGACAGAUUUGAUAGACAGUAAAGCCGAAGUAGAUUCAGAAAGAACUAAGGAUUAUCUAAUUUUUAGGCAAAUAGACGCUAACAAAUUUAAUUUGGAUGAGGUUAGGUACACCACCUUAAAGGACAGAGGAUCGAGUGACCAUAAUAAGAGGAAAAAGAAAAGAAGAGUUAAACUUGACAUGAGCCCUGUAGCUAGAAUUCAACCUAUAGAGUAUGAUAUGGAUAAGAUGGAAUAGGUUCUUCAAGACAUGAUCUCAAGAUGAUUAGGGAGAAGUAUGACAUUUCUUGACUUGUAAGGAUGAAGUUACCAAAACAUGGUAAAAAACCAAGUACUCUCGUUAUGGUGCGGUAGCUAUUUGUUCAAAAUUAUUAGAUUGUGGAAUAAGACUACACAUGCAACCUUUGGAAAAAUGUCAGCUUCACUAGGCUUAGCUUCUUGUCGAUUGUUGUUAAAUGGGUGGAGAAUGUUAUGAGGUCUAUACGCAAUAUAAGCACGAGCAAUUUUACCUGAGCCCACAUUUCAGGAACUGAAAAGAUGAAUCAAAUUCAAGAGUAACUCGAAAGACCAUGAUAGCUAGUAUUAUUUGUCACCACGGCAAAAAAUAAAGAGAUUAGUCCCGAAUUUAUCGACUACUAACAAAGAUUUUAAGGAUAUGAGGUUUUUGAAUCUCAGAAGAAUGGGGUCAAUUCUCAGAAGAUCCAAUGAAUGGAGUAGCAAUUACAUUUAAUACACAUACACACCCCUAUAUUUUUACUAAACUUGAGCUUAAUGUCACGGGCUGCUCAAAUUUUCCACCAACGGAGACUAAUUCUACGCGCACUGGUACAUUUAGUAAAAGUCCGCCUAAACAUGGAGUGCGCUUAGACGGGGGUUGUGCUUAGCACAAAAGGCAAGAUGCAUUUAGAAAUGGGAUGCGCUUAGAAAUGGGCCUCUAACACAAUUAGCCAACUAUGGUGCACUUAGCGAUUAUCCAAGCCGGGCCUGAAUUAUAGAGUUCUUUACAAUUGUAAAUAUCUUAGACUUUUCUAGAAUUGAGCAUUUAGGUCCUAGAGAUAUUUAUGUAAGUUGCAUGGAAGAUUCAAGAACUUAGCACCCAACACCUAUAAAUAUGGGUGUGCCCCCUCAUUUGCACACACACCACACACACACACACACACACACACACCCACCCACCAGUACACACACACCCACCCACCAGUACACACACAUUCUCGAUCAUGCUCUCAAGCGCUUUUGCAAAAGCUUUCUUGUAAAUUAUUUUAUAAUAAAAAUAUAUUUUGGCCAUAUUGCUCUCUUUUCACUAGCAUUUCUGCAAGCGUUCUUGCUUCUCUAGUUUGAGAAGAAUCUAAAGGCUUACUUAGCAACUUGUGUGCUAAAAGUCAUCUAAUUGCUGUAUGGGUUUGCUGCGCAAAACUCAUUUUCCGUGAGAAGUGGUAUCAGAGCUAAGGUUUGCACCCACACAAGCUAGCUCAACGAGCAACGGCCAACCCUCCGAGCACAACAUAAGAGGGCGUAGUCGGUGUGAAGGUACCGGAGCAAGUCUGUGGCAAUGAGGAGGGACGCACACAAGUUAAGUCCCAUGGCAAGUCCAAGGCUGCUUCUGUAAAUGCCUUAGAGCCUCACAUAACCACGCUUGAAACUUCGAUGUCCGCUAUCCAAGACACCCUCGAUACUUUGGAGGUGCGGGUUGAUGGUCUCGAGGGUGAGUAUAGUGAGUCCACAGUAGUCACCAAGGCCCUCAUACAAGAUUAAGCCGACUCACUUCGAGGGGAGUUUCGAGCCUUUCAUGAUGAGUUGCAAAAAUUACAUAGCUUCAUGCAAAGCGAGCUACGAGCGAUCCGUACAGAGGUCGAUGAAGUCUGCUCGAAUUGGGCUUGGCAUAAGCACACACUCUCCGCUAGCUUAGCUUCCACAAGCUCGAGUGAUGCAAGCCGAAUCGACGUGCCAAAAUCAGAUACGUGUGAUGGUGCAUGUAAUGCUACUGUCGUCGACAACUUCCUAUUUGGUUGAGAGCAAUACUUCGAUACCAUGGGUGUUCGUGACAAAGCAUCGAAGGUAGGCACCGCACCUACAUUCCUAUGAGGCACCGUACAACUAUGAUGGCGGUGGAAGCAUGGCGACAUGGGCAAGGGCAUUUGCGGAACCAAUACAGGGGCUGAGUUCCAACGAGAACUCUACAAGCACUUUGCCUCAAGCAGCGUGGAGAAGGAAGCUCGAGCGCGACUUCGUCGGCUCAAGCAAACCGGUAGUGUCGCGACUAUAUCAACGACUUCACUACCUUUACUCUUCAAAUUUUCGACAGGUCCGAUAAGGAUUCUCUCUUCUACUUCCAAGAUGGUCUCAAGGAUUGGGCUAAGGCAGAACCUGAUAGGCGUGGCAUACAAACUCUCGAUGACGCCAUCGCCGUUGUGGAAUCACUUGUUGAUUACUUCGCUUAACCCAAGAAGAAGAGGUCUAGCCAUGGUAAAGGUGGGGGAAAGGGCUGGAAGGACAAGGGCCACAACUUGAAGGAGUGGGGGUAGAAAAAGCCUCCAAACGGUAAGAGCGGGCAAAGUAAAUCAGAGAAAUAGUUGCCGCCCAAGCCUUGAAGCCCAUGCUCUAGUGGUUCGGCUCAAGGGCCAGUACACACUGAUUACGGAGGAACCCCAACACAGCAUGGGUUCACUCUAGCGCCUUGGCGCACUCGUGAGCCCACCGCCUGUACAUAUGAUGAAAGGGCUCAUAUACGAGAGUGUGCUUAUGAACGACCAUAUCGUUCGUGCACUCCUCGACACCGAAGCAACGCACAACUUCAUUUUCAAAGAAGAGGCCAAGUGUUUAGGCCUCAAAGCAACCCAAUAUGGAGGCACUAUAAAGGCAGUAAACUCAACGCCAAGCCAUUUGCAGGAAUAGCGCGAGGUGUGCACGUUACGCUUAGGACAUGGAACGGGAAACUCGAUUUAUCGAUAGUGCUGAUGGAUGACUUCAUAAUGAUCCUUGGCAUGGAAUUCUUUGACAAGGUCCAUGCUUUCCAUUUACCAGCCACGAACUCCCUAAGCAUCUUCGAUGGGAGUAAGACAUGUGUGGUACCAGCCGAGCGCGCCCAGCUCGAGAGAAAGACGCUCUCGGUCAUGCAAUACAUAAGAGGAUUAAAAAAGGAUCUCGACCACUUGUUCUCCAUCCGGUAACCCAAUAAGGGAGAGGAUUUCGUAAACCCUCUUGUCAAGUCCCACAAUAGGUACAAGUCGUCCAUGACAAGAUCAAGGACACUAUGCCUCUGGAACUUCCGAAGACACUCCCACCUCGACGAGAGACGGAUCAUGAGAGCUGGAAGCUUAACAACAAGGGAUGCCACUACGCCAUGCAAGAGAAGAAGAUGGUCGCAUGCAUCACAAGUGAAGGAACCUCCUCGAAAGUAAAGCCACAUAGGAAUGCAAUGAAGACCUAUGUCAAAUCGUAGAGCAUGUCCAAAAGUACAAGCACGAGAACGCGACGAGGACGCCGUGAGCAUAGGUGGGGGAGGAUUGUCACGGGCCGCUCAAAUUUGCCACCAACGGAGGCUAAUUCUGUGUGCACAGGUACAUUUAGCAAAAAUCCGCCUAGACAUGGAGUGCGCUUAGACGCGAGUUGUACUUAGCACAAAAGGCGGGAUGCACUUAGAAAUGGGAUGCGCUUAAAAAUGGGCAGCCAACACAACUAGCCAGCUAUGGUGCACUUAGCGAUGAUCCAAGCCGGGCCCAAAUUUUAGAGUUCUCUACAAUUGUAAAUAUCCUAGACUUUUCUAGCAUUGAGCAUUUAGGUCGUAGAGAUACUUAUCCAAGUUGCAUGGAAGAUUCAAGAACUUAGCACCCAACACCUAUAAAUAGGGGUGUGCCCCCUCAUUUGCACACACAUCACACCACACACACACACAUUCUCGAUCACACUCUCAAGCUCUCUUCUAAAUUAUUUUAGUGUGUAAUAAAAAUAUAUUUUGGCCAUAUUGCUUUCUUUUCUCUAACAUUUCCACAAGAGUUCUUGCUUCACUAGUUUGAAAAGAAUUACAAGGCUUAUUUAACGACUUGUGUGCUAGAAGUCAUCUAAGUACUGCACGGGUUUGUUGCGCAAAACUCUCAUCCCGUCACAUUAAGGAUUCAUAUCCAAUAACAUGUCCUAAUUUAAAUAGGAUAAAACAAUACAAGUCCUAUUCCUCAUCAAACUCAAAUCCUACAAGAUAAGAUAAAUUUUCUUAACUCAAUUAUACUUCUGACUAUUUUCUCUUAUAUAAAGAUAUCACCAUUCGAAAGUAUGUACAUCAAAGGUAGGGUAUGAGAAAUUGAAGAACUUGCAAGCGAAUGAACUCGUUCCUUUGCACGAGGUCAGACCAAUAUGGUUGGUUCAAAGGAGGUGGAAACGUAUAAGUUUCUCUCAAUGUUAUUAUAGUCUAAACAUUUGUUGAAAUUUGACCACAUGAUCGGGUUUUUGAUCUCAUGCAUAGGAGCAAUGUCAUUAGAAAUCUUGGGUAGGUUGAAGAAAAGGUUGUGUGAGAGGCAGCAAAAAAAUACUCAAGAGAUGGAGGCUGGAGGCAAGUUGUAAUUGCUAUUGGGGUUCCAACACAGAAAUCAUCCGUUGUAGCCUGCUCAACUGCAACGGUGCCCACCACUCUACUGAGCACACAGCCCAGUGAGAUGACAAUAAGACCAAGGCACACUCUCACUGAGGCGAAGAAGAAAGAAAAUGAAUAUCAGUUUGAGUAAACCCAUCAUGUGGUACAUUUUGCCGAAGCUUAAGUGAAUAGAGAAAAAGUAGAGGAGCUUAAUAAAUUGACUACUGUAGAUGCUUGGGAACGCUUGAUGAAUGAAUCGUGGUCAACAGGUAAAACUUACAACAUUUUUAAUAACCUUGCUUUAUUUUAAAUACCAUUCAACCCCAACCUUGAAGUUACUAACGACAAGAAAAUAAUGAUGUAAACUGCAUACACACUGCAGUUUACAGGUCUCUUCUAAGAAAAUGUUCGAGCUGAAAUUGUAAUAACUAUCAAUUUGCAUGGAAGCUAAAAAUUAUUAUAAUCUUACCAGGAUAAUUCAGAGAAAGUUUACAUGCAGAGAAAUGGAAAAAUAAAAUAUAAAAUACAAUACAAGAUCGUUUUGACGAUGCGGAUAAUUCAGAGAAAGAUUACAUGCUGAGAAAUGGAAAAAAAAAAAAACAAUACAACAUAAUUUUGACGAUGCAAUUAACACAAUGAAGAACUAGCAGAUGUCCAUCGCAAUGCUAAUGUGAUACAGAUUACAGAGGGGAAAAUGAUCCUCUUAUUUAUUUACCCAGUUUUGGCCUGAUUUCUAUACCUUGAAUAACGAGGCCACACUUCCAGUGACCACAGGCCAACUCCAAAACGCUCAUUUCCAGCUCACCAUCUUCAACAUCUUCUUCGUUGAAAAAAUCACCUAACUCGAUCUCCAACCACUCAUCUUUUCUCUCCUUAGGAAAAUAGCCAUCAUUUUCUUUAGGCGUUGAAGCCUGACUGCUGCUGCGAUUAAGUAAGCCAUGAUAACCUUGCCUUAGCCCUAUUUCUUCUUCCAAAUAAACAGUUCGUGUUUGGCUUUCACCACUGACUAGUCCAACACUCACAACUACAGGUUGAUAUUCAAACCCGAAGGAUCCUGCUGUUAGCUUGUACACAAGAUAUGCAGUGUAUAGUGUCCCUGGAGACAGACUACGAGUGCUAAUUUUGCCACGGAUUUCAAGCCAACAGACACAGAUAAGCUCAGCCACCUCCGGAAACCUAUUUUUGGAUAUAGCCAAUAUAUCUUUACUCAUCAGAAAAGAAUAAUACAUAAACAAACAAAAGCAAUGAGUAAAAGAAACAAACCUGGCCUCAGGAAUAGAGGUCCAGCUCCAAUAAGUAGGUGUAUUACCCCAGACAAUCAGAAGAUCCCUCGCGGAUAUCAUGUAACAUUUCUUCCCACUCUGCUUGUCCAACGAAAAGCUCUGCUGAAUGUCACAAUUAGAUAUGCACCGUUGCUUAUAUUAACAAGGUAAGGAAAGAAGAAGACAAAACCGCAUGAAAAUGACGGUAAAAUUUUCCCAAAAAAGCACUUCAACUUCAAAAGUGUUUAGAUGAGUUUUGGACAGAUCACUUUUGAAUUAAAAAUAUUUGUGGAAGUGCAAAAGCACAUUUUAUAAGAGCAAUUAUCAGUUAUCAAAUGUUUCUCAAGAAAAAGGCAAAUCAAGUUCCCUUUCACACUACCAACUGCUUUUUCACUCCCAAAAGAUAUUAUUGUUGAUUUCAACAUGUUAUUAAAUUUUUCUCCACAAGAUAAAACACCAUCUAGAGACACAUAACAAGUGCUUUCUCUAAAAGCGCUUUUUUUAUUCCCCCGCGGGCCCAAGACAACUGAUUUCAUUUAAUUAAAAGACAUGCUUUUGGUGGUGUCACAAGCACUUGCAACAAAGAACAUGCAGCACCAAAACAGACAUCAAGCUCCCCGAAUGAAUUCUAACAAAUACAGUAAAAUUCUACCGAAACAAGUCAACAAAUGCUAGAAGAUCUUUACCAAAACUAGAUAAUUAGAAGUGUAUUUUGAGGUGUUUUAAAAGAAAUCAGUUUCAAAUAAAAAGCAUCUUCAACAAAAAAACUGAAAAUUUUAAUGGAUUCAGUCAUUCGGAUUAAUGAUUAAAAAAAACCGUACAUUAAAACCAAAUCAAAAUCAAUUAUGGGUUAUGAACAAAGAAGAAAAUAAAAGGAAUUAAGUGAUUAUAACGUAUGCAAAUGUUCCUACCUUUUUGCCCUCGUCGAUGAGGAUAGGGUUAUGACAGAGGCUAAAAUAGAGCUCCUUCUUAGAGGAGGAACGCAGCGAAGAAGAAGAAGAAGAAGAAGAAGACGAAAGAAGAGUAGAGUAAUCGGGCGGCAAAAAGCUCUCCCAAACGGCGUCGGAUUCGGCCGCCGACUUGAAGAUAGUUGAAACUGAAGACAAUCUGCAUGCGUCGCGAGGAGUAGUAAAGGAAAUAGCGUUGGCAAUGCAACCUUCGGGUAAAAGCUCCAUUUCUGCUUCCGUGGAAAUUAGAAAAGGUAAAUGGAGAGACAGACGCUCAGAUGAAUCUCGUCGUUUCGAUUCUUGUGGUUUUUGAUUUGGCCAUUUU